GGUUGGUAGGUAUAAACCAUCGCGCGACCCGACCGCCACGCAAAGGAUGAUAAUCAAUAUACUAAUCAUGCUCAUAUUUCAUCACAUAGCGGUUCACCAUAUGUGCAUGCUACGGGAAUCACUAACUUCAACACAAGUAUUUCUAGAUCCACAACACCUUACUAGCAUGACUUCAAUAUUACCAUAACCACAACUCAAAACUAAUUGAGAUGAAUCAAACUUCUCUAACUAUUCAAUGCACAUGAAGGUGUAAGUUUUCAUAUCCCUUUGGAUAACUACCCCUUUUGAGACUACUUUCAAAGCAUAGAUCAACUAGCAACCCACGCACUUCUGCGCUCUAAAAGAUAUAAGCGAAGCACACAGAGCAAAAAUAUCUAGCUCAAAAGAUAUAAGUGAAGCACAUGUGAGCUGAAUUGUCUACCAAAAGAUAUAAGUGAAGCUCGACAAAAUCAUGGUGUGUGCAUGUCUCUCUCUCUAGGUGUGCAGAAAGGAUGAUUGUGACACAACAAAGAUAAAAGACUCCUACGACCCAAGACGCUCCAAGCAAAAACACAUAACAUGUGGUGAAUAAAAAUAUAGCCCCAAGUAACGUUACCAAUGGAUUGAAGACGAGAGAGGGGAUGCCUUCCUGGGGCAUCCCCAAGCUUAGGCUUUUUGGCAUCCUUGAAUCAAAUUGGGGUGCCUUGGGCAUCUCCAAGCUUGAGCUCUUGCCACUCUUUAUCUCUUUGUCCAUAAGAACUUCACCCAGAACUUGAAAACUUCACGACACAAAACUUAAACAGAAACUCGUGAUAUCAUUAGUAUAAGAAAGCAAAUCACCACUUCUUUAAGUACUGUAGCAAACUUAAAUUCUACUUAUGUUGGUGUUGGGUUUCUGUAUUUUUACUUUUCCAUGGCUAGUACCCUCCGAUACUAUCCAUAAUUUCAUCAAAAUAAGCAACCAACUCAACAAAAACAGAAUCUGUUAACAGCAGACCAGUCUGUAGCAAUCUGUAUACUUUGUAUACUUCUGGUGCUUCAAAAAAUCUGAACAAUUACGACAGUCUGAAGAAAUUGCGUAGAAAUAAGAAGCAAAAAGAAUCUACUCAAAAGCUCUUACAGAAUAAAAACGAAAAUUAUUUUCGUGAGCAGAAAGUUUGUGUCUUUUCCAGCAUNNNNNNNNNNNNNNNNNNNNNNNNNNNNNNNNNNNNNNNNNNNNNNNNNNNNNNNNNNNNNNNNNNNNNNNNNNNNNNNNNNNNNNNNNNNNNNNNNNNNUUUUAGAAUAAGUAGAAAUAAAGAGGAAGAGGUUUAAGCGUGGCUCGAGCAUCUCAUAUCGUAGUUGUGUUCGGUGAACUGAAGCGGCAUCGCUCUAACACACAUUUCAACAAACACCUCUAGUGCAUCAAAAAAAUGGAGAGCUAGCACACACCCACACUCUUCCAUCCAAAAAAAAUGCAAGGAAGAGGGGAGAGGGGGGUUGUGCUAUAUAUAGGCAGAAGACUUUAGUCCUGGUUUGAGACACAAACCGGGACUAAAGGUGGCGCACAUGCGGGCUGCACACCGCGUAGCCCUUUAGUCCCGGUUUGAGACACAAACCGGGACUAAAGGCUCCUUACGGGACGGGACCAAAGUGUUGGAAUUAUGCCCUAGAGGCAAUAAUAAAUGUAUAGUUAUUAUUAUAAUUCCUGUAUCAAGAUAAUAGUUUAUUAUCCAUGCUAUAAUUGUAUUGAAUGAAGACUCAUUUACAUGUGUGGAUACAUAGACAAAACACCGUCCCUAGCAUGCCUCUAGUUGGCUGGCCAGUUGAUCGAUGAUAGUCAGUGUCUUCUGAAUAUGAACAAGGUGUUGUUGCUUGAUAACUGGAUCACGUCAUUAGGAGAAUCACGUGAUGGACUAGACCCAAACUAAUAGACGUAGCAUGUNNNNNNNNNNNNNNNNNNNNNNNNNNNNNNNNNNNNNNNNNNNNNNNNNNNNNNNNNNNNNNNNNNNNNNNNNNNNNNNNNNNNNNNNNNNNNNNNNNNNGGAGGGUGGGUGGGAAGGGCGUCGCCGCCGCAGUUCACCGCGUCGCCGCCCGCGAUCCGCGGGGAUUCAGGUGGGGUUGUGUCUACCCGGUACGUUUCAAUGCAGCACACAAAAUGCUGCGAGGUGUGUCGGUGCGGGGAUGCUCAGGUGGGACGUUGGCCGGACUGAAUCCGCGACGGGGGCACGGCGCAUCGGACGGUUCUCCAGGAGGCUUACGUCUGGUACAAAUCAGCCGACAGAUUUGUAGCAGCCACCAAUUUUGUUUGGUUGAGAACUAACGAUGUUCUUUUUUCUUUUCCUUUUUGCGAAAAGGGAACUAACGUUCUUGUAUCUGCCAUCCCGGAAAGAGAUAUGUUCAGUUUUGUUUGACAAACUUGCUUCGGUGACCUUGAUCCUAUUCCCCGCGUAGGGCUGGGAGCACGGAGCAAAUGCGUACCUGGCAAAGCACGCUGCUGCUACUUUUGACCCGUUUUUUCCUUUCUCUUUUUGAUAUUUUGGUUCGUUAUAAAUAUUAUUUGUCCUUUUAGUUUUUGGUUUAUUAUUUUUAAAAAUUCAUAAAAUAUUUCAAAAGUUUAGAACAUUUAAUAAUUGUGGAGAUAAUUUUAUAUUUUUGAAUAUUUUGAGAAUGCUUUACAAAUUCUUAAAUAGCUUUUCAGUUUUCGAACUUUUUAAAAUAUGAGAAUGUUUUUACAAUUCAUAUUUUUUAAAUCUGAGGAAAAAUUACAAUUCUUAUUUUUCAAAAACAAUAUGUAGGGAAUAUUUUCAAAGUUCGUGAACCUCUUUUGAUAUCUAAAAACUAAAUUCAUGAACAUAUUUUUAAAUAUGGAAUAUUUUGUGAUAUUUAGAAAUAUUAUUACAAAUUUUGAACAUUUUUUAAAUCCAGGAACAUUUUCAAAAACUAAUCCUAUUUUUAAAAUUCAAAACAAUUUUAGAAAUCCCAUAUUGAAUUUUGAAUGUGUGAAAAAAUUUCAGAGUUAAAAAGUAAAAUAAAUAAUAAAAGAAAAUAAACCACAAAGAAAGGAAAAAAGAUAGGACCGCCCCGCCCAACAUAUGGGUCAACCCAAUGUGGUCGGGGAGGGUGCGUGGUUGUGUGUUAACUGCCCCGUACUACUCAGCGCCUCAAGUGUUAGUUUGCUCAGCGACGCUUGUGUUCGGCUACAGUGGGCUGUGGCCCAAUAGCGAGUGAAUUGCUCGGUCGCUCGAUGUUGCCAGUUUGACAGAAAUGUUAGUAGAUUCGAAAAUUGUGAACAUUUUCUUAAAACAUUUUUCUCAUUUGUGAAGAAAUUCAGAAUAUAUUUUUAAAUCAUGGGAAAAAAUUGUGAACAUUUUCUGAAAUUUCAGAACUGUUUCCAAAUCUGAGAUCACUUUUGAAAAAUUGAAACAUUUUUUGAAUUUGGUAUUUGUGAACAUGUUUCGAAGCUAAAAGGUAAAAAAGAAACGAAUGAUAAAAAGGAAAAUAAAAAUUUGGUUGGAUGAGGGUGCGCGUUUGGGCAUUGUCCACGGCACACUACACGCUAUAGUAGAGACCUCCUGCUUUUAAGCACUACUAGUUGAAUGCCCGUGCGUUGCCACGGGUCAAUAAAAUUAAUUGUCACUUAAUUAUCGUUGGCCGCCGAAUCCAAUCCGAUUGUUCUGGUUUUCUCGCAACCAUCGUCAAACAAGCGCUCCACUCCUUGCCCCCUAUUUUUAUCAGCCAGUGGGAGGGUCUAGAAUCGCCCUCUUGUUGCCCUAGGAAUCCCUUCACUAAAAGUGCUCAUGUCAUGAAAUAUUUAUUUUACCUUCUUCUCACUAAUAAAAAUAAAAUACACUCAAACUUAAAUAGUAGCUGAACAUAUUAUCAUAAUGAUUCAAUAAAGAAGUAUCCCGUGAUCUUGAUAAGAUCUCAGACUUGAUGGGUCUUGCCAUAUUGGCCACCGAAAAAAUGAAAGCACAUUUUCAUUGAAUAAUAUUUAAGCAUGGAGAUAGUCAAAUACCUACGUGUUUGAAGGAAGCGUCAAAAAAAUAAUAACAACUGAACAUCUUCCCUUCACCCCUCUCUUCAUUUAUUCAUGUAUUCCUUCUUCGUCUAUCUUUUCUCUGACUUCGGCCAUGCCCAUGCUCUUUUUUAUGUUACUUCUCAGAUCCGGUUGUAUCAAAUAAUCGAUAAAACACGACAUUAAGCACAUCAUUAAAACAAAGCAAAGUGAAGGUAUGACGCCCUUUGCAACAAGCAACAUACAUCCGCAAUCGUCAAUGGGGGUCUAACUGAAUCACCUUGUUAUUCUAGAAGAUAGUGCCAACCUUUGGAACCUUACCUAUGCUCAACCUAUGUCUCCAUCGUUCAUGACCUGGCAUUCCUGCAGAGCUACAAUGUCUUAGAAUAUCAUUCUGUGGUUCAAAUAGUUCUCUCAAAUUAUGGAUGCAAACAAAUGUUUUCCUUUAAAAAUGUCUAUCAAGAAGGCUAGCUCACAGAGCAACAAUUGAAUAGAAUGCAUAAUGUUCAAUAAAAUCAAUGGAGGGAACACUUUUGCAAUAAAAAGCAAAUACUACAUGUUCCUCUACAUCUCAAAUAAUCUAUGAUGUGGAGGUACACAAAAGGAUGGUCUGCACUAAAGAAAAUUACAAUUGAUUUCAUGUGUGUUCUAGAAUAAAAAAACUGUACAUUACAAUGUUUUGAUAAUGUGGCAUCCUAGAAAUCGUCAUGUUUUUAGUACAAUAUUUGUCUGCACCAUGUUUCAUUGUUUCCCUCAUGAAGAAACCAUGUACCAAGCAAUAUCAUAGUCGAUCUCUAUAACUUCAACAGACCCAAUGAUUGUAUUUGCUACUUUGACAACAAUGACUUGUGGUCACAAAUUCACCUUCAUAAGUACUACCCAAGUGAAGAUUUCAUAAUUAAUAUAUACAACAUAUAUACAAGUGCUAUAAUAAAGUUUUAUGAAUUCGUAAUGAAUAGAAAUUACUUGCAUAAUUUAAAUAAAGGAUCCUCCAUUUUGCUGAAAAGUAAAAGCUUAAUAACUCUGUGCAAACAGGGAAUGGAGUAACUAAAAGUAGUUGUGAUUCAAAAGUAUGGCACAUUUGGUUUCACCCAGAAUGCUGUAUAACGGGUUCCGCCAUGAAUUUGGAUAUUUUUUAGUUAAUAUAGCUUUUUGCCCUGUAACAUAAACAAAUAACAGUGCCUAAUAUAUUGCAAAACAACCAAUCACAAAAAUCUUUACUGGAAGCAGAGAGGACACAUCUCAGAUAUCUCCAACCUGUCAUUCCCGGAGGCCCGAGUAGUGUUGUUGAACAAGGUCCUCAUAUUGGCCGACUCCUCCUCUUCCGCGCUUGUCCUCCCCACUGUGACCACCCAUGCUCACGUCGCCAGAUCGGUCGAUGUCCCAAGGCCGCCUUCGCCACCCUGAUCGACUGAUGCGCGGACCAGCAUGCAGCCGAUGCCAUUGCCCUGCACUCCUGCGAGACCACAUGCUGGGUUGUCGCCGGUCGAGGUCAUCAUCUGAGAAAGACCCAUCCUCGAAGGACAAGGCCGAUAUCGCCACCGUCUCGAAGGUGCUCUUCCGAUGGCCUCAAGUCCGCAGCCGUCCACAUGAGCCGCCAAUAGUGGAGAGGGGUGGGUUGAGGCCGUGGCCGAGGCCUAGAUGAGAUGCGCGACGCAGGAGAGGGAGAGUGCGGGGUACCAGCCAGGUGGUUCGGGUUUGGCAAAGAGAUCUGCAUAUGGAGUUUGUGGACUUGUGGGAGAAGUGGAGGACGUAGGGGAUUUUUCUUUGGGUUUUCACUACUUUGGAACGUGAGGUUUUUCUACAUUGUUUUUUCUUUCUGCGUGGGAAUCGAUAGGACGGAGUGAGAGGACGUAUCGACAGGAGGAGAAGGGGGAUCGAACCAUCACGACGAAGACGACGACGUUCGAUUGCUGACAAUAUAUGCUAGUACUAUAGUACAAAACACAGAGGUCAGCCCGGUAUAAUGCCAAAAAUUUGUACUCUACUGAAAAGAGACCCCCAAAGUCAGGAAAAACAAGAGAGGAGAAACAUCAAAGUCAGAAAAAACAAGAGAGGAGGAAUUUCAAAAUCAGCCCUGCAAAAAAAGACUAUCAUGUCAUGAACUUGAAAACAGAAAAAAAAAAUCAUUCUAAACAAAAUAACAAGCAAAAUUAUGCGGAAACCCAUCAAAACUGCCGAAAUAACAUAGAAAACUGAAGCAACUUAUCAGAGGGACAUACAGGAGAAGCUAGCAGAGCUCGUUGUGCUCGAAUCCAAGCAGCCCCUGGACUCAGAGCUCAUCUUGGACAGAAUUUCAGCCAGAAAUCAAUCAGCACGAGUCUAGCUAGAGUGGGGGUUGUACCAUCGCCGGUUUGUCUUAGGCGCCACGAAGGGCGCGGCAGCACCAUCCCAAGAAGAGGUGGUGGUGCCCAGUGAGCACGACGUUGGGGGCGGUAGGACAGAUGAUAUCUACACCACAGCAGCGGCAUAUGGGGAAAGGAGAUGGGCGGCUUCUGCGUGGAUCGGUGGCUGCAGCUGUCAGAAGAAGUACGGGGGUGGGAUAGAGGGCGUGCGUGCGUUGGUUUCAGAUGGUUCGAUCAUGGGCCAUAAAUGUGCGACGUGAAUAACGCGAACGAGGGAUGGGGUGCAGCUAAAAAAUUUCACAAAGAAAUCGUGCGAGGAGCCAGAGGUUAUACGACGGGAGGAGUCGUGCAGAGGGAUUGUUAGAGAUGAUCGAACCAUCACGAUGGCAGAUCCCUCUUUAAUAGUAGAGAUUCACAAAAAAGCAGGUGUUAACUCAAGUCAAAGAAUCACCUAAUAGACUGAGAUACAGCUAUAGGGACAAGUAUUUGUAUUUGCAUAGUGCAUGCCAAAAGCUAACGAACUUAACGGACCAACAAAUGCGAGUAGGAGAGACUUACUUGAGUGCCUCUGUAAGAGACUCGAGAAGCUGGUACCGCUCUUUGUAAGCCAAACCAAUCAACAAUAUGACACUUGUUGGCAGAGAAAAAAAAUCGACAAACAGGGAACCUACAAGUCAAAAAAAAGAGCAAACACUUGGUGUGCAUCCUAUGCCACAGCGAGAGUUAAUUCAUUUAUAGUCAUAUAUUCAAAGAGAAGGGUACAUAUACAUUUUGUCCCUUGUAUGAUUUUUAACCGAUGUCUAUGUUGAACAGUAGCUUUGAAUACAUAAUUCAAUUCCAAAAAAUAUGGUCAACAUACAGAUGUUAAGGUAGAAAUAAUACUGCCACUAAGAAACACUCAUGGUGCCAAGAUAGAAAUAUUAUUAUAAUGUACGCUAAUUCAAUGAUCAUCGAUGGCAAGGGGAAGAGUGUGUUGUACCACUGUUGUUAUAUAUUUGAAAUCUCAGUGCACAUCACAGAUAUAAUUUCUAGCAAUACCAAGCUUUGAUCUCAAACAAAACAUAUCCAUGUUACCCUCAGGAUAACUGAACAACAAUAUCUGACAGUGGUCACCCAAUUGAAUCCAUACAUCUUGGCACCAAAAUCGGAAGUUCUGGGUAGCUCCAUCACAGAUUUUAACACCUAAAGGGUUGAAGGAAAAAACAUUCAGUACUUGCUAUAAGUAAAGGAAAACCAUAAAAUUUAUAUCUAUGGACUUGCAAAGACAAUCAAGAGCAACGGGAGAACAAAAUCCUUGUAUGCACCAACCGACUCAUUCAUUUCAGUGACAGGUUUAUGGUGUCAGUGAUUCCCACACAAAUGCUUGCAUUCCGAACAUACUUCAUCCCAUUAUUAUCUUGUACAAAGUUUGCAUGCUACUCUUCGGUUGUGUGUCUAAAUACAAAUUAAUUAGGUCAUAUCACUCAAUAAUCAAACAAAUUAGUGAAAUGUCUUUAAUGGGAGAGAAGGGCCACUAAUCAAGGCAUAGGAAACGCUUGGACAACAGCGUCCUUGACAAGAAAUCAACACAACAAAGCUUAUGCAGGAUCACCGCAUCCGCGUGCCCGCUAAUUGCAGUGUGCCCUUCGCUACAGCCCAGAGUGACCUCACGGCACGAAGGGCUAUCUCCCUAUCUAUAUUGCCAUAACUUUCAGAUAUCAAAAUCCUUGAAUAACAUGAAGACAUGACCUCCAAAAGAAUCAUUGAAAAAGUAUUACUAUGAUCCUUAUUUUUUGCAUGUAUUUCUUUCUACAUGAACCACAUUCUGAAUUUAACAGGAGAAUAACUACAGUAAAAUCGUAUAUAAAUCAUCAAAUGGUUUUGUUUUUCUGAUGAGGUCAUUACGUGGACAGGAAAGCCUUGGUUUGAGACUCAUGAUAAUUAUUAUCACUUAUUGUAUCUCUACAAAGUUAAUAUAAACAUAUAUGAAGUAAAAUUGUUUUGCAAGAAAAAUAAUACAAUACAUUUUAUACAUGUCCAACCCAUGUACUCUGGUAUGUAAAAAUGAUCAAAAUCGCACACUGAAACCCGUGCAAACUCAGGGGCAUUAUAUAUCAUGGAGGAGGGAGUGCCUGAAGCAAAAGUCUGAUUCGUGUCUUCCCAACUUUAACACUUAAAAGUGCAUGGCAUCCCCUUGAAACUUGAAUAAUGACUUUUGAACAACAAAACCAUAUCCAAAUCUUUCAUAUGCUUCGUUACAAUUUUACACAGUACAACAAUGACACACCUCGAUCAAGAUAAUUGGUUUCUCCUUUACAAUAAUAAAUAUAAGUAGAAGGCCAUGAGUGUUAUAUUACAAUGUUGUUAAUACUUACGCCAAUGUGAAGCUGUCCACCUAAUGGCUACACAACUCUUUGACCAUGUUCACUAAAUUGCCCGUGCGUUGCAACGGCGAUAAACUAAAAAUGUUGCCAUGGCAGAAAAACAGGCGAAAAAAAGAAUAAGUGCACGUGUUUGUGUUUUUACCUCCUCACCCUCACCGUCACCACAUCCUUGCCCUACAUCAGUCACAGCGACAUGACAUUGCACCAUUGCCUACGAUGUUGCCAAGGAUCUGCCUCAUUUUCACUCUCCAUCAUCAUUGUGAUGAACGCCCCCACUCUUCACUGGGACUAUGCCAAUUACCUCCAAAAUACCUUCACCGCCUAUGUGAAAUGUCAAACUCGACAAUAUUCAUCAGUACACAUUAUUAAUUCACUAAGAAAAUUUACACUUUAUAAACCUAGUGUGCAAUGCUUCUUGCAAAAUUAGUCUAACUGGAUUGUAUGUGAGCACUCCCAAAUUUUAUUACUCACCUGCAUGAAGCCUUUGCUUUCACUACUACCAGCUAGUAUAUUUGACUAACUAAUUGGUCAAUACAUGUUAUGGCAAGAUAAAUGACAUGCAGUUUGCUAGUAAAUUUUAGUAAGUUUCGCCUCUAUUCAGUCCCAUGACCUCUGCUCCUAUACAUGAGCUCAAAUACCAUACCAGCAGAUCAAACAUUUUCUUAUUAUAAGUUGACUUAUUAAUGCCUUCUUUUACAAUGAAUGUGCAUAUUAGAGAUGUUUUAUACUUGUGUGCUAAUAAUGUUAACCUGGUUACAUCAAUCAACAUAAGAGAGGAGGCAACUUUUGCGAUAGCUUGGAGAGAUAAAAUGUCAAAUGGGAAAACACUCAUAUUGAUUUAUUCAUGAGUACACAUUAUUAUUUCACUGUUCUGAAUCGCAAUCACCUAAAGAAAGCAUCAUGCUUCAAACUAUAUACAUGUCCAUGUGUGGUCUCACCAAUCUAGUACUACAUAGAUGAUCAUUUUUUAAGGUAUGGAUCCAUUUUUUUAAGCUAAGCACAUUCAGAUUCCAACCACCCAAGGUAUGAAUCCAUUUUUCUAGUUAUUGCGUAAUUCGAUCUGUUAACCACCAAAUAAUAAAAAAUCAAAAACUGUGGGAUUGAGGAAGAAGAUUAAACUUGAGGUCAUAUUGAGCGGUCCUACUUGUAUCGUGGCUUUGGGCUGGAUCACCACUGUCAUGGCGCCGUCCCACAUCACAGCUUCGCCCUCGCAAGGAGCCGACUUGAAUCAACUUAGUCGUUGCAGCUGAAUUCCUAUUUAUCGGCCUAGACUUAGAUCUUCUCCUCUCUGCUCUCUGUUGAAUAAUUGUCCCUGUUUUAUUUUCUAGAUUGACCUACAUAUUUUAGUUUUCUGGUGAUAAACAUAUAUGCUAGAGCCCUACAAAUUAAUAUCUAUGAUUCGAUAUUAAUGUCAUAGCUUCAAAAAUAAAACAACAACCACUCCAUAAACACAUCCUCUGUCCAGAAUAUAAUUAUAUUCAUAGUAAAAAAAUCUAGGGACGAAGGUACUACUUGAAGAACUGUCAUCACAAGUUCAGUAAACAUACCACAUGGUAUGUAUGCACACCAGACAAUUCCAACACGUACAUCGGCAUCGUGGAAACGGCCUUGAGUGCCUCUGUUGUCCUCUCCAACAGCGGGAACUACACCAUCGAGGGCUCCUGCACGAUCACCCUGUAUACUUGGCAAAAUCAGUCGGGAAGCAACAUGAGAGGUACAGUGGGUAGCAAGCAGGAUUCAAUGUUCAUGACAUGACAUAGAAACUGAGAAGAGUGGCUUCAAUAAAGUUGCUAGUAAAAGCUACCUUCAGACUCAAGGAUUUGAGCACGUUUCUUGCGCUCUGCUGCGGCCUGCAUCUCCAUGGCCUUCUUGACUCCAUCUGGAGGAGUGAUGUCCCCUAGAAAGACAGAUAGACAGAUUGAUGGAUAUUAGUAAUGUGAUGCUGUGAGGUGGUUGGAUAAGGAGAUGAUAUAUUGUGCCAUACAUACAGACAGUUGAAGAAGGAAGGAAGGAAAAGAAGCAUACUGAUUUCGUAGCGAAGACACUUCAAACCCCAAGUUUCAGCUGCCUCAUUGAUUGACUUCUGUAGUUGGGGAAAUAAGAGAGCACAUGAAUCACACACAAUCCAAGCAUGUAUAUAUGAUACUCGAGAUAUAAAUCAAAGUCAUGUCCUAGUAAUAAGCAUCCAAAUUUUUGAAGUAUGCAAAAGGCAGGUAGGUUAGGUAUGCAAAAGUACCACAAUGUUGUAGUUGAGCGUGUCCCUCUCCUCGAAGGUCUUGUCAAGGGUGAUCCUAUUUCGUGAAGACAUUAGUCGAAUGGCAUACUACAUAUGUCCUCCCUCUACUGAUCUAAAACAUCUUCUAUUAGAUUACAGAUGUCUUUGUUUACACGGGGGUCAUCCUCCUUUUCAAAAAAAAGAAGCAAAUGACAUGGUAUGAUUCAUGGGUAAUGAGUAUCCAUUGCCAUCCCUCGGUAUUAAGUCUCAUUAGAUGACAUGUAGCAUGUUUAAUCACAUCAACAAUAGCAUAUACCAUAAGCUAAUUAAUUUCCUUUUGUUAUAAUGAUUAAGAAAAAUGAUAGUAGAAACAUAUGAUAUUAAAAAAACCAUGUCCAGUGUUGUAUAUUUACAUGGAAUUUUUGUAGGAAUAUCCAUUCUAAUAAAAAUUUGCUUAGAGCGCUGACUACCAGUUACAUGAAAGUCGAUGCAUGCCGUUUUAAAUAAGUCACCACCAAGUCCUAAUCAGCAAUGGAUUUUAUUCCUUGCAACCAAAGAAGUGGUUUAUGAUCUGAAAAAUUGAACCGGAAAACAUUUAGUGAAGAGUAACCGAAAGUAGUAGCGAAUGACAAGAGCAUAUAUAUGUCCGAAUAUAUGUGCAACACCGCAUGAACUGUAAAUCAUAGGUAUAUGAUCAUCAUGGUUUCCACUUUCCAAAAAAAACCACCUCUAAAAAAACCAUCGUACGAUCCCACCUCCUCCCAUAAUACGAUCCCACACAGGAAAGAAAAAAACCCAGCUUAGCAUGAUACUGGAAAACAAAAACACGAUCUCCACCUCCUCGCAGUAUCCAAAUGAACCUGAACAACCCGCCGCCAUCCUCUCAGGUGACCAGUCAUCGCGGCCUUCUCAGGCAACCACUCACCCGACCACUCAUCCUCUCAGGCGACCACUCAGCACGGAGAAUGGAAAUUACUGCCUUAGAAUCCAUUACUAAGUGCAUCAUUUUUCUACUAUCUAAAAACCUGGGUAUUUUUUUACCAUUAGAAGUGGCCUCCUUCCAGCCUUGUCCAUCGGAAGCACCCCAAGUGCCGUCAUCGGAAUCUAGAAGAACACCAUAAAAUCAGUGAGUACUGAGUGGCAGAAACUAUUGCAUAAGAGCCAUGAUUAAAUACCUGAACCGCAACCAUAGCGAGCAUUCCCGUGUUCCCUGACGAGAAACCUGAUUCAUGUCAUGGAUAGUUAGUACCCAAAAGUAACACAUGGUAAUAAAUAUGUCCAUUAACUAUAAGCAGUAAGCAUGAGAAAGUUAAGUCAUCAGGUUGCUAAAAUUCAUUACCAACCGAGACAAAUAUCUCACUGGCGUAGAAGCACAUUGCGUUCACUCCACAAAACUGUUGAAGGACCAUGAGCCCAACUCCAACCUGAAAGAAAUCCAAUACUUAUAAAGUUACACAUGAGCAUCUCCUUUGUAGCUAGAAAUGCAUAACUAAAAUACUUACGGUGACGGCAUGAAUGUAAUCCUUCUGAAAUAAGUCCAACAUCUUUGACUGUGGCAAGUGCUGAAGCUUUUCUGUGAAAUCCUGAACAUAUAUAAUUAGCUAGACAUUUCAGUAAUGCAGGACUAAGCUCUCAGGCGACCACUCAGCACGGAGAAUGGAAAUUACUGCCUUAGCAUCCAUUACUAAGUGCAUCAUUUUUUCUAAAAACCUGUGUAUUUUUUUUACCAUUAGAAGUGGCCUCCUUCCAGCCUUGUCCAUCAGAAGCACCCCAAGUGCCGUCAUCGGAAUCUACAAGAACACCAUAAAAUCAGUGAGUACUGAGUGGCAAAAACUAUUGCAUAAGAGCCAUGAUUAAAUACCUGAACCGCAACCAUAGNNNNNNNNNNGAAAUAUGUCCAGUAACUAUAAGCAGUAAGCAUGAGAAAGUUAAGGCAUCAGGUUGCUAAAAUUCAUUACCAACCGAGACAAAUAUCUCAGUGGCGUAGAAGCACAUUGCGUUCACUCCACCAAACUGUUGAAGGACCAUGAGCCCAACUCCAACCUGAAAGAAAUCCAAUACUUAUAAAGUUACACAUUAGCAUCUCCUUUGUAGCUAGAAAUGCAUAACUAAAAUACUUAUGGUGACGGCAUGAAUGUAAUCCUUCUGAAAUAGGUCCAACAUCUUUGACUGUGGCAAGUGCUGAAGCUUUUCUAUGAAAUCCUGAACAUAUAUAAUUAGCUAGACAUUUCAGUAAUGCGGGACUAAGUUGGUGUUCUAUUUUAAAUAUCAGGUUUAUAACAGUUGAUACUUUGAUAUCUGCUGCCUCUUCCGAGACGGCACAUCCUGCUUUAAGUUGGUGGGAGAGAGCUCUUACCGGGGGAGAGAGGUCGAACCAUCGCUGAGGUUGAACCAUCACGACGGCACAUCCUGCUUUAAUAGUAGAGAUAGUUUCCCAACCAGUACUGGCGUGUGGCUUUGCGAUCAGUUGGAUCAGUUGGGGCCAAUAGGCAAUAGCGAAUGAAAUGGCUUUACCACUCGAUGCUGCAAGCUCGCUAGCUUGCACGAGCCAGCAAGAAAACCAGCAGGUGCUAAAAUAACGACUUACGUUUUUCUGUAGAUAACAAAACUCGUACUUAAAAUCUAUCUGCACAUUUGAAGAAACAAAAUUACAUUUCUUUAAAGGCGUAGGUGAAGCGCCCAAAUACAAACCCAUUUCAUGGUCUUUUGGUUCUUUCGUUCGGAUCGGACGUUGUUUUCUAGUUCUUUGCUCGCGACCGCUCAUUUUUAUCAGCUUUUGCAUGCGUUUUUCCUCAAAAACCGAGUACACUAGGACUGUAAAACAAUUGGAAAACUAAAAAUGCUCACAAUUUCUAAAAAGAUCGACCAAUUAAAGAACUAUGUUCACGAAUUCAUAAAAUGUUCGCAGUUUCAAACAAAUAUCUUCAUGAAUUUGAAAUUUUUACAUGCAUUUAUAAAUUAUGAGCGAGUGCAAAAAAGUUCAAAAGUUGUAAAUAUGUAUCCUAAUUUGUGGCAAUAUUUGUAAUUCAAAAAAUUCUUGCCUAUUCACAAAAUAUUUAUGAAUACAAAAAGUAAGAUCAAAUUUACAAAAUGUUGGCAAAUUCAAAGAAUGCACAAGAAUUGGAAAACUAAAUGUCCAAGAAUUUGAAAAAUGUUUGCGAAAUUCAAAAAUGUGUUUGCAUAUAGAAAAUGCUGACAAAUGUUGAGAAUUCACAAAAUAUUUGCCAAAUUUAGAAAAAUAUUAGUGAACUUGAAAACAAAAAAACAAAGGAAAAUAACAAUUGUAGGGAAAACACCUGAAAGAGAGCACAAAAGUAGAAAAACGCUCUAGGAAUGUUAGAACCUUUCGAGAACCGGAAAGGGGGAUUCUUGCUAGUUUAGCCGUCCCAAUGAUAGAAAAUUGCUAGUCCCCAUUUCGAGAACCGAAAAGGGGGAUUUUCUAGCAAAGGAUUGAUGAAUGUAUUUUUAAGAACAAGUACAAUAAAGCUGAAUCAGCUGGCUAUAAGUAAUAAAUUAAUAUAUUUUUAUUUAGUUGGAGGAAAGAGAAGGGGAGAAAUAAGGUAAGCGAGUCCUUAGCUAAGAGUCAGCUCUAGCACGUGUUCCUAAACAUUUUAUGAGUAUGAAAGGUGUGUCAUAUAAUAAUAAAAAAAAGUAAUACACAUUUGCAAUGAACUGUUGUACAUGUUGGCUAUAAGAUUAGCUAUAGAUGAUAUGACGAUGGUUUAUAGCCAGCAGCUGGCUAUAUUAUUGUACUUAAUCUAAUGUACCAAAAUGUCGUUGAAAUAAAUAAAACGGCCUAGAAAUGUAUACAUGUGGACGAGAUGCGAUCUCGUGUUUGACUCACGACUAGCGCAUCAAGAAAACGGACGCCGUCUCAUUGUCAUGUUCAAACGAACGAAAUCCGGACACGAGGAACGUCCAUGUUUGGAGUAGUUCGCCAAAGCACAGCCACCACCUUGACCAUGAGGACGUACGGCACUUCCCAACAAAACAAUCUCUGCGCGGGCACCUGCAUGCAUGCCAUCACCAGCCGGCCCCACGGCUGCGGACACGACGAUGCGGAUGACAAACCACGCCGUCUCUAGCUAGUCAUCGGAGGCGCGCGAUUAACAACGCCGCGUCUGGCCGGCCGGCUCUCGUCCUCCGGCACGCCUCGGUCCUAACGGAGGCCUCGCCGUUCAACCCUCACCUAUCCGUCUUCCACCUUCUCUAAUUUGGUCGCAUUUGUUAACUCCCGUUGGGCGUGCGCUCCCAAGCCCUAUAAAACCCCGGCCAGCAGCACACAUGCACUCUCACCGCACCGAUCGCUCCGUUGUCGUUCACCCUGUCCUCGCUGUCAUCAUGUUCGGGCACAAGAAGCACAACCAGCCCCCUCCGCCGCCGGCCGGCGCCGGCUCCCCGACCGCGUCGCUGCCGAUGAUGCCGCAGCAGGCGGAGCCGACGUUCAAGAUCUUCUGCCGCGCCGACGAGGCCUACUGCCUCACCAUCCGCCACGACGCCGUCGUCCUCGCCCCGACCAACCCCCGCGACGACUACCAGGCACGUACACCCAGCCAUACGAUUCUCAUUCGAGUGAACGUACGUACGUGGAAGUGACACUUCUGCACGUGUGCGUGUGUGUGUGUGGGUACAGCACUGGUACAAGGACAUGAGGCAGAGCACGAGGGUGAGCGACGCGGAGGGGCACCCGGCGUUCGCGCUGGUGAACAAGGCCACGGGGCUGGCCGUGAAGCACUCGCUCGGCCAGUCCCACCCCGUCAAGCUCAUCCCCUACAACCCGGCGUUCGAGGACGAGUCGGUGCUGUGGACGGAGAGCAACGACGUCGGCAAGGGCUUCCGCUGCAUCCGCAUGGUCAACAACCUCAGCCUCAGCUUCGACGCCCUCCACGGCGACAAGCCCCACGGCGGGGUGCACGACGGCACCGCCGUCGUCCUCUGGGAGUUCUGCAAGGGCGAGAACCAGAGCUGGAAGAUCCUGCCCUGGGGCGCCGACGGUGGCGGCUACGGGUACGGGUACGGUUACGGCGGAGGCUCGUCCGGCGGCCGGGACCCCUACGCGUCUCCGCCUGCGUACGGAGGAGGGUACCGCACCCCGCCGGCCGGCGAGGAGGCCUACCCGCCGCCGCCGCAUGCCCACGGCGCUGAGGCGUACGCGCCGCCGGGCGCAGGGUACGGGUACGGCAACCUGCACCGCGCGCUGGCGUCUGAGUCCACCGUGCGCGUCCUGUGCAGCGCCGGCGAGGACUACAGCCUCACCGUGAGGAACGGCACCGUGUGCCUCGCGCCCACCAACCCCAGGGACGAGUUCCAGGUGAAAACCAAAGGGAUGAAUGCACAUACAUAGCUUGUUCCAUCCGAACCAGCAAUUUCUCAACGCCCAUCAAUCCAUGGCGACCUUACUGACUUUCGUCUCUGUUAAUUAAUUUUGCGUGUGUGCGUGACAAAACGAAAUGCAGCACUGGGUGAAGGACAUGAGGUACAGCACCAAGAUCAAGGACGAGGAGGGCUACCCUGCGUUCGCCCUGGUGAACAAGAUCACCGGCGAAGCCAUCAAGCACUCCCUCGGGCAGAGCCACCCUGUAAGCCUCAAAAACUAAACCACCAUGCAUGCAACCUGGAUUAUAUUUGUAGUACUGCUGACUACGAACAUAGCGUCUGUCAUCUUGUGACUGUGACGUUAACACAUGUAAUACACCUUAAAUUCAAGUUGGCCGGUCAAUGCAGUGGUUGGCACGUGCCUAUCUACGUUUGCGAUUUCCAUGUUGGCGUCACACGACGUGAAACUAUUUUCCACCACCCCCUUUCUCGUACGUUUUGAGACGUUUACAGCAACACGUAGGUGAACCGUGCUUGACAUGUGAUGUGGACUGCAGGUGAAGCUUGUGGGUUACAACCCGGAGUACAUGGACGAGUCGGUGCUGUGGACGGAGAGCAGGGACGUGGGCAAGGGGUUCCGCUGCAUCCGCAUGGUGAACAACAUCUACCUCAACUUCGACGCGCUCCACGGCGACAAGGACCACGGCGGCGUCCACGACGGCACCGAGGUCGUGCUCUGGGAGUGGUGCAAGGGCGACAACCAGCGCUGGAAGAUCGUCCCGUGGUGUAAGCUACUCUCAACCUUCAGGGCCUUGCACUCACCCUUCACCGCACUUAAUCUGUCCACUGAUCACCAUUACUUGCUUGCCUUUCUCAUGCAGAGACUGUACCUUGAUGUCAUCCGCUUCAUGUCGUGUCCGUUCUGCACUUCUGCGCGUUCAGUAGAGAGAAUAAACCUAGGCUGCAGCGAUGAUCUCUUCUUACUUGAUCGAGACCGGAUCGCUUCUUUGUCUGAGAACAAGUUCAGGAUGUCGAUCAGGUGCAGGGCGGUCUAGCUAGCUAUCUUCUGAGUUUGGUGUGGAUCGCUACGUUGAUCCAUGCGAAUGUGUCUCCUCCUGUCUGUCAAGGAGAGAGUUUAGUUCGUUGGCACCUGACAGUUUUCGAGAGAAUAACAUGUAUGAAUGUACAUUUAUGUUUGUAAUGAACAAAUAUAUGCCUGCAUAAGCCACUGUCCUGCAUUAUUGAUCUGUUUUUUCACCGGGGCUCACAAGUUGCCAGUUGUGGACUUGUGGUCACACCAGCUACCUAAUACGUAAUCUACGAAGAAAUUGAGGUUUAUAUUACAGAAUUGAUGACAUUGACACUCGGUGAGACUGAAGAACUUCUAGAUUCCCUCUUUUUUAAAAGAGCUUCUAGAUUGCCAGGUCAUGCCGCCCAACACAUUGCUUAAAUACAUAUCGGUCUAAUUCUUAACGCCCAAGCAUCACUCCGUGUUAUUCUCGUGCUGUCAAUUCAAGGAGGAGUUUAGGAUGGAGUGUUUCGUUCAACGUAGAAAACAAUGAAGCCACUACACGUCAAAAAAAAAAAAAAAANNNNNNNNNNNNNNNNNNNNNNNNNNNNNNNNNNNNNNNNNNNNNNNNNNNNNNNNNNNNNNNNNNNNNNNNNNNNNNNNNNNNNNNNNNNNNNNNNNNNNNNNNNNNNNNNNNNNNNNNNNNNNNNNNNNNNNNNAAUCUCCCAUGACCUCUUCAAACAGGCUUCCGCCCUGCUUAAUAUAUAAAACAACAACUUCACAAAAUACACGGCCGAACAAUACAAUAUGAUAGGGGGCCCUCCUUACAAAGCAUCGGAUAAACAAGAAAUCAGAACAAACGUAACACCUAGACAAGGUACGAUGAAGGGCGCCUCGCACCCUUGAUAUAAACAAGAGUGUGACGACACGAUGCGACACCGCUGCCGAGUCCAGCACCGCCACCACGGGGCCUGCCGGGAAGCCAACUAUGGAUCCUGCCAUCCAGGACCGCUGCCUUGGCAUCUGAGUCCCAAGGCACCUCCAGCCUUCCACAUCACGACCACCUAACCACGGUAGUAGAAGAGAAAGACGAUGUCUUUCCCCCUAGCCCGAAAUCAGCCUCGGGUCGGUAUCGGCACCCCACAGUAGGGAGCACACACACCCGCAUCCCGAAGCCAGUCCCGGUCGACCAGGAGGGAUACAACCCAGAGACAAUCAACGGCCAGCGCCAAGCACAGUUGAGCGCCGCCAUAUCUGUCGUACUCAGGGCCGAUCCGAAGAUGACAGAGGAAGGCCCCAGGCACGAAACUCGGACCGACCCCACGCACAGGGAACAUGCAAGUGGGCCAUAACACAAAGGCUUGCGACGAUGCGGACCAAGUCAACCUCCAAUAAUUGCACACUGUCGGAAAUCGUCCACCACCACACACCAGGAACCCCACAGCCACACCUACAGUGACGCCAUAACGUGUGGACGCUGAAAGGAUCGAGAUGGACCUAGAGGGGGUGAAUAGGUAUAAUUACAAAUUUUAAUUGUUUCUUAGCAAUUUUAGGCAAUAAUGUGAAAUAUGAAGGUGAGCCUAACAAUUGCAAAGAUGGUAGUCGUGCGUACUGAGCAAGACAACAAUUAAUUAAAGAGUUAAGACAAGUAAUACAAGUAAUAUAAGAAAUAUCAAAAAGACAAAUAACCAUAAGUAGAGAGUUAGGGUUAGGGAUAACCACAACUCCGAGAGACGAGGAUGUAUGCCGAUGUUCACUUCCUUGGAGGGAAGCUACGUCACCGUUUAGAGAGGUGGAUGUUACCACGAAGGCACACCAACGCCACGAAGGUUCACCCUAUUCUCUCUUUGAGACAACACCACGAAGGCGAUUCUCAACCACUAGUGGUAGACAUUGGGGUGGUCUCCAAACCGUCACAAACUUUCCGGGGGUAAUCACAAUGAAAGAUUCCUCGCCGGAGUACUCCUACCGCCUAGGAGUCUACAGCCUCCAAGAGUAACAAGAUGCACCGUGAAAACAAAGGUGAAUCAACUUUUUCUUUGGCGAAUGUGUAGAUCAGGCACUCCUGCUUCACUCCUCAAAAGAUCAAGAGCUUUUGUUGGCUAAGGAGGGAGAACUCCAAGAAAUAGAGGUCUGAAAAUAGUGGAGAGAGAAAAAUGGAGUUUCUACGGUGCUUGAGGAAGAAGAAUGCUAUUUAUAGGAGGGGAAGAAAUCCAGCCGUUGGGGGCCAGAUUACUGCCAACCCCGAAAGUUCCGAGGGGACCGGAGGUUCCGGACCCCGGAAGUUCAGGCCAGGUUCCGGGAAGGUUCCGUCUUAAACAAAAUGAUUGCACCCGGUUGUAGUCCCUUGGAAGCAGUCAGGAUGAGGAUGAUAGAUCCUAAGCCCGGAAGUUUCGACUAGGGUCCGGCAAGGUUCCGGCCUAAACAUACCCUGUGCUUCUCAAGCAUACCUGAAGGAAAUUCAAAGCAAAUAUUUUCAGUAGGUNNNNNNNNNNNNNNNNNNNNNNNNNNNNNNNNNNNNNNNNNNNNNNNNNNNNNNNNNNNNNNNNNNNNNNNNNNNNNNNNNNNNNNNNNNNNNNNNNNNNACCAUUUGUUUCCUUGUUGUUUUUGUAAUUUCAGAUUACAAAAACCUAUAUCUACCAUCCAUAUUNNNNNNNNNNGAGAGAACUUCACUAGUGAAAGUAUGAACCCUAGGCCUUGUUUCCACGCAUUGCAAUACCGUUCGUGCUCACUUUUUUUACUAGUUACCUUCCUGUUUUUGUAAUUUCAGAUUACAAAAACCUAUAUCUACCAUCCAUAUUGCACUUAUUUCACCAUCUCUUCGCCGAACUAGUGCACCUAUACAACUGACCAUUGUAUUGGGUGUGUUUGGGACACAAGAGACUCUUUGUUAUUUGGUUGCAGGGUGCUUGAGAGAGAUCAUCUUCAUCCUACGCCUCCCGCGGAUUGAUAAACCUUAGGUCACCCACNNNNNNNNNNGUUUGUUAUUUGGUUGCAGGGUUGCUUGAGAGAGACCAUAUUCAUCCUAUGCCUCCCGCGGAUUGAUAAACCUUAGGUCACCCACUUGAGGGAAAAUUGCUACUGUCCUACAACCCUCUGCACUUGGAGGCCCAACAACGUCUACAAGGAGAAGGUUGCGUAGUAUACAUCAAGCUCUUUUCUGGCGCCGUUGCCGGGGAGGUUAGCGCUUGAAGGUAUAUCUUUAGAUCUUGCAAUCGAAUCUNNNNNNNNNNCGCUAGAAAACUACAAAAAAAUGGAAUUGAGGGUGCCUCAUUUGCUCCAUCUUUUCAAUGUCUUUCGUGAGCAUGAUGGGAAGGAAAAUUGUGCUCAAGUGCUGAAAGAAGAAUUACAUAGAAUGCUUGGCAUAGAAUNNNNNNNNNNNNNNNNNNNNNNNNNNNNNNNNNNNNNNNNNNNNNNNNNNNNNNNNNNNNNNNNNNNNNNNNNNNNNNNNNNNNNNNNNNNNNNNNNNNNNNNNNNNNNNNNNNNNNNNNNNNNNNNNNNNNNNNNNNNNNNNNNNNNNNNNNNNNNNNNNNNNNNNNNNNNNNNGGCAAAGCCACGAGCUUGGGGAUGCUAUAUUUGAUGAAGAUGAUCUUUUUAGUUAUUCCACUUUGAAUGAUCAAAAUUAUUUUGAUGAAAGAAUGCCCCCUAUUUAUGAUGAUUAUUGUGAGGAUACUUAUCUUUGAAGAAGAGGGAUAAUACAACUUGUCAUACUUUCGAAAACCCCUUUGCUACCUUGCUUUUUCAUUGUGGACACAAUUUGUAGUGCUCAAGUCUUUUACGAUACUCCCACUACUAUUCUUGAGAAAAUAUUUCCUUAUGUGGAGAGUAGUAAAAUUUCUAUGCUUGUAGAUCAUGANNNNNNNNNNNNNNNNNNNNNNNNNNNNNNNNNNNNNNNNNNNNNNNNNNNNNNNNNNNNNNNNNNNNNNNNNNNNNNNNNNNNNNNNNNNNNNNNNNNNUAGGAUACCAUAGGAGUGCUUUGGGUGUAUCAAACGUCACAACGUAACUGGGUGACUAUAAAGGUGCACUACGGGUACCUCGGAAAGUGUCUGUUGGGUUGGUACGAAUCAUGAUCGGGAUUUGUCACUCCGUGUGACGGAGAGGUAUCUCUGGGCCCACUCGGUAGAACAUCAUCAUGAGCUCAAUGUGACUAAGGAGUUAGUCACACGAUGACGUGCUACGGAACGAGUAAAGAGACUUACCGGUAACGAGAUUGAACAAGGUAUNNNNNNNNNNGGUGUGCAUCCAACUUGCUUGCUCACGAAGACCUAAGGCAAUUUUGAGGAAGCCUAUCAUUGGAAUAUACAAGCCAAGUUAUAUAAUGAAAAUUUCCCACUAGCUAUAUGGUGGUGACAAAACGAGAUACUCUCAAUCAUGAAGAUCAUGGUGCUUAAUAUGCACAAGUGUGGAAAGGUGGUAACAUUGUCCCUUCUCUCUUUUUCUCACAUUUUUUUGAAUGGGCUCUUUGGCCUCUUUUUAUAUUAUUUUUUUAUUAUUUUGGUGGGCAUCUUUGGCCUCUUUUAUUUUCUCACAUGGGACAAUGAUCCAUCAAUGAUGAUCAUCACACUUACAACUCAAAGCUUAGAACAAUGAUGACACUAUAUGGAAUGCCUUCGGUAGUGUACCGUGACAAUGAUCUAGCAUGGCAUAGACAUUAAUGGAAACAUCAUGCUAGCUAUCUUACGAUCAUGCAAUGGAAAUGUAGACGUGGUGGCACAUGUCAUGGUGGUAGUUGCAUGGCAAUAUAUCUCGGAAUGACUUUGAAAAGGCCAUAGUAGGUAGGUAUGGUGGCUGUUUUGAGGGAGGCUAAUGGUGGNNNNNNNNNNAUUUUUUGGUGGGCUCUUUGGCCUCUUUAUUAUUAUUAUUUUUUAUUUUUAUUUUGGUGGGCAUCUUUGGCCUAUUUUAUUUCCUCACAUGGGACAAUGCUCCAUCAAUGAUGAUCAUCACACUUUCAACACAAAACUUAGAGCAACGAUGACUCCAUAUGGAAUGCCUUCGGUAGUGUACCGUGACAAUGAUCUAGCAUGGCAUAGACAUUAAAUGAAACAUCAUGCUAGCUAUCUUAAGAUCAUGCAAUGGAAAUUUAGAUGUGGUGGCACAUGUCAUGGUGGUAUUUGCAUGGAAAUAUAUCUUGGAAUGACUUUGAAAAAUCCAUAGUAGGUAGGUAUGGUGGCUGUUUUGAGGGAGGCUAAUGGUGGGUUUUGUGCACCGACGAAAGUUGCACGACACUAAAGAAGAUAGUGAUGGUGGAAGAUGAAAGUGCAUCUAAACCAUGGACUCAACAUUAAUCAUGAAGAACUCAUAUACUUGUUGCAAAAGUUUUAUUAGUAAUCGAAACAAAGCAUACAACGCAUACUCCUAGGGGAAGGGUUGGUAGGUAUAAACCAUCGCGCGAUCCCAACCGCCACGCAAAGGAUGACAAUCAAUAUACUAAUCAUGCUCAGAUUUCAUCACAUAGCGGUUCACCAUACGUGCAUGCUACGGGAAUCACUAACUUCAACACAAGUNNNNNNNNNNGUCAUGAAGAACUCAUAUACUUGUUGCAAAAAAUUUAUUAGUAAUCGAAUAAAGCAUUCAACGCAUACUCCUAGGGGAAGGGUUGGUAGGUAUAAACCAUCGCGCGAUCCCGACCGCCACACAAAGGAUGACAAUCAAUAGACUAAUCAUGCUCAGACUUCAUCACAUAGAGGUUCACCAUACGUGCAUGCUACGGGAAUCACUAACUUCAACACAAGUNNNNNNNNNNAUAUAACUUCAAUAUUACCAUAACCACAACUCAAAACUAGUUGAGAUGAAUCAAACUUCUCUAACUAUUCAAUGCACAUGAAGGUGGAAGUUUUCGUAUCCCUUUGGAUAACUACCCCUUUUGAGACUACUUUCAUAGCAUAGAUCAACUACCAAGCCAUGCAUUGCCGUGCUCUAUUAGAUAUAAGUGAAGUACAUAGAGCAAAAUCAACUAGCUCAAAAGAUAUAAGUGAAGCACAUGUGAGCUGAAUUGUCUACCACAGGAUAUAAGUGAAGCUCGACAAAAUCACGGUGAGUGCAUGUCUCUCUCUCUCUCUAGGUGUGCAGCAAGGAUGAUUGUGACACAAAAAAAAUAAAAGACUCCUAAGAUACAAGACGCUCCAAGCGAAACACAUAACAUGUGGUGAAUAAAAAUAUAGCCCCAAGUAACGUUAUCGAUGGAUUGAAGACGAAAGAGGGGAUGCCUUCCCGGGGCAUCNNNNNNNNNNNNNNNNNNNNNNNNNNNNNNNNNNNNNNNNNNNNNNNNNNNNNNNNNNNNNNNNNNNNNNNNNNNNNNNNNNNNNNNNNNNNNNNNNNNNAAAGGAUGAUUGUGACACAACAAAGAUAAAAGACUCCUACGACCCAAGACGCUCCAAGCAAAAACACAUAACAUGUGGUGAAUAAAAAUAUAGCCCCAAGUAACGUUACCAAUGGAUUGAAGACGAGAGAGGGGAUGCCUUCCUGGGGCAUCCCCAAGCUUAGGCUUUUUGGCAUCCUUGAAUCAAAUUGGGGUGCCUUGGGCAUCUCCAAGCUUGAGCUCUUGCCACUCUUUAUCUCUUUGUCCAUAAGAACUUCACCCAGAACUUGAAAACUUCACGACACAAAACUUAAACAGAAACUCGUGAUAUCAUUAGUAUAAGAAAGCAAAUCACCACUUCUUUAAGUACUGUAGCAAACUUAAAUUCUACUUAUGUUGGUGUUGGGUUUCUGUAUUUUUACUUUUCCAUGGCUAGUACCCUCCGAUACUAUCCAUAAUUUCAUCAAAAUAAGCAACCAACUCAACAAAAACAGAAUCUGUUAACAGCAGACCAGUCUGUAGCAAUCUGUAUACUUUGUAUACUUCUGGUGCUUCAAAAAAUCUGAACAAUUACGACAGUCUGAAGAAAUUGCGUAGAAAUAAGAAGCAAAAAGAAUCUACUCAAAAGCUCUUACAGAAUAAAAACGAAAAUUAUUUUCGUGAGCAGAAAGUUUGUGUCUUUUCCAGCAUGAUCAAACAAUCAUCACCAAGACUAAUCAUAAUGGUUUUGCUUGGCACAAACACAAAAAGAAACACAAAAGACACAAUCAUAACAGAAUUAUGAUGGUGUGGAGAAAACAAAACUGGAACCAAAAAGCAAAGAAAAAUUUAUUCAUUGGGUUGCCUCCCAACAAGCGCUAUCGUUUAACGCCCUUAGCUAGGCAUUGAUUUCAAUGAUGCUCACAUAAAAGGUAAGGAUUGAAACACAACGAGAGCAUCAUGGAGCAAAUGGCUAGCACAUUUAAGUCUAACCCACUUCCUGGAUUUUGUGAUCAAACAAUUUAUUGGAGCAAUAAUCAACUAGCAUAGGAAGGCAAAACAAGCAUAGCUUCAAACAUUUCAACAUAUGGAGAGGAAGCUUGAUACUAUUGCAAUAAGUAGAAGNNNNNNNNNNAUGCAUAGGGAUUUUGUGAUCAAACAAUUGAUUGGAGCAGGAAUCAACUAGCAUCGGAAGGCAAACUUCAAAAAUUUCAACAUAUGGAGAGGAAGCUUGAUACUAUUGCAAUAAGUAGAAGCAUAUGAUCCUCUCUCAUAGUAAUUUUUAGUAACAUCAUGAAUGAAUUCAACAAUAUAACCAGCACCUAAAGCAUUCUUUUCAUGAUCUACAAGCAUAGAAAUUUUACUACUCUCCACAUAAGGAAAUCUUUUCUCAAGAAUAGUAGUGGGAUUAUCGUAAAAGACUUGAGCACUACAAAUUGUGUCCACUAUGAAAAAGCAAGGUUUAGCAAAGGGGUUUUAGAAAGUAUGACAAGUUUUAUCAUCCCUCUUCUUCAAAGCAUAAGUAUUCUCACAAUAAUCAUCAAAGAUAGGGGGCAUUCUUUCAUCAAAAUAAUUUUGAUCAUUCAAAGUGGAAGAACUAAAAAUAUCAUCUUCAUCAAAUAUAGCAUCCCCAAGCUCGUGGCUUUGCAUAUCAUUAGCAUCAUGGGUAUUCAAAGAAUUCAUGCUAAAAACAUUGCAAUCAUGCUCAUCCUUCACUUAUUCUAUGCCAAGCAUUCUAUGUAAUUCUUCUUUCAGCACUUGAGCACUAUUUUCCUUCCCAUAAUGCUCACGAAAGACAUUGAAAAGAUGGAGCAUAUGAGGCAUCCUCAAUUCCAUUUUUUUGUAGUUUUCUAGCUAAAGAACAAGAAACAAAAAGAUUCGAUUGCAAGAUCUAAAGAUAUACCUUCAAGCGCUAACCUCCCUGGCAACGGCGCCAGAAAAGAGCUUGAUGUCUACUACGCAACCUUCUCCUUGUAGACGUUCUUGGGCCUCCAAGUGUAGAGGGUUGUAGGACAGUAGCAAUUUUCCCUCAAGUGGGUGACCUAAGGUUUAUAAAUCCAUGGGAGGCGUAGGAUGAAGAUGAUCUCUCUCAAGCAACCCUGCAACCAAAUAACAAAGAGUCUCUUGUGUCCCCAACACACCUAAUACAAUGGUAAGUUGUAUAGGUGCACUAGUUCGGCGAAGAGAUCGUGAUACAAGUGCAAUAUGGAUGGUGGAUAUAGGUUUUUGUAAUCUGAAGUUACAAAAACAGCAAGGUAACUAGUAACAAAAGUGAGCACGAACGGUAUUGCAAUGUGUGGAAACAAGGCCUAGGGUUCAUACUUUCACUAGUGAAGUUCUCUUAACAAUGAUAACAUAAUUGGAUCAUAUAACUAGCCCUCAACAUGCAACAAAGAGUCACUCCAAAGUCAUUAAUAGCGGAGAACAAACGAAGAGAUUAUUGUCGGGUAUGAAACCACCACAAAGUUAUUCUUUCUUAUCGAUAUAUUUAAGAGUCUGUAGUAAAAUAACACGAAGCUAUUCUUUCCGUUCGAUCCAUCAUAGAGNNNNNNNNNNCCAUACUUUCACUAGUGAAGUUUUCUCAACAAUAAUAACAUAAUUGGAUCAUAUAAAUAGCCCUCAACAUGCAACAAAGAGUCACUCCAAAGUCACUAAUAGCGGAGAACAAACGAAGAGAUUAUUGUCUGGUACGAAACCACCACAAAGUUAUUCUUUCUGAUCGAUCUAUUCAAGAGUCCGUAGUAAAAUAACACGAAGCUAUUCUUUCCGUUCGAUCCAUCAUAGAGUUCGUACUAGAAUAACACCUUAAGAUACAUAUCAACCAAGACCCUAAUGUCACGUAGAUACUCCAUUGUCACCUCAAGUAUCCGUGGGCAUGAUUAUACGAUAUGCAUCACAUAAUCUCACAAUCAUCUAUUCAACCAACACAUAGAACUUCAAAGAGUGCCCCAAAGUNNNNNNNNNNNAUCACCUGAAGUAUCUGUGGGCAUGAUUAUACAUAUGCAUCACAUCAUCUCAGAAUCAUCUAUUCAACCAACACAUAGAACUUCAAAGAGUGCCCCAAAGUUUCUACCGGGGAGUCAAAACGUGUGCCAACCCCUAUGCAUAGGUUCCCAAUGUCACAAACCCGCAAGUUGAUCACCAAAACAUACAUCGAGUACUCAGAUGAAUCAAACGUGUGCCAACCCAUAUGCAUAGGUUCCAAAUGUCACANNNNNNNNNNACAAAACAUACAUCAAGUACUCACAUGAAUCAAACGUGUGCCAACCCAUAUGCAUAGGUUCCAAAUGUCACAAACCCGCAAGUUGAUCACAUCAGAUAGACACGUGAAAGACAUACAUCAAGUGUUCUCAAAGACUCAAUCCGAUAAGAUAACUCCAAAGGGGAAACUCAAUUCAUUACAAGAGGGAGAGGGGGAAGAACAUCAUAAGAUCCAACUAUAGUAAAAAAGCUCAUGGUACAUCGAGAUCAAGAUAUCUCAAGAACACGAGAGAGAGAGAGAGANNNNNNNNNNCACUGAGGGAGAACUACUCCCUCCUCGUCAUGGAGAUCGCCGGGAUGAUGAAGAUGGCCACCGGAGAUGGAUUUCCCCUCUAGCAGGGUGCCGGAACGGGCUCCAGAUUGGUUUUUGGUGGCCACAGAGGCUUGCGGCGGCGGAACUCCCAAUCUAGGUUUCUUUUUGGGGGUUUCUGAAUUUAUAGGUAUUUAUGGCGGUGGAAUUACGUUGGUUGGGCCCACGAGGAGGUCACAAGCUUGGUCGCCACCACCUAGGGGGGUGGUGGCGGCGUCAGGGCUUGUGACUCCCUCGUGGCUCUUCUGNNNNNNNNNNCUGAGGGAGAACUACUCCCUCCUCUUCAUGGAGAUUGUCGGGAUGAUGAAGAUGGCCACCGGAGAUUGAUCCCCCCUCUGGCAGGGUGCCGGAACGGGCUCCAGAUUGGUUUUUGGUGGCUACGGAGGCUUGCAGCGGCGGAACUCCCGAUCUAGGUUUCUUUUUGUGGGUUUCUGAAUUUACAGGAAUUUAUGGCGGUGGAAUUAUGUCGGUUGGGCCCACGAGGAGGUCACAAGCCUGGUUGCCACAACCUAGGGGGUGGUGGCGGCGUCAGGGCUUGUGACUCCCUCGUGGCUCUUCUGGCCUUCUUUCAAAGCUUUGGGGGUCUCUUUUGGUCCAAAAAAAUCAUCGUAAAGUUUCAUUCCAUUUGGACUCCGUCUGAAAAUCGGCCAAAAACACGAAAAAAAUAGAAACUGGCACUUGGCACUGAGUUAAUAGGUUAGUCCCAAAAAAAGAUAUAAAAUAGCAUAUUCAUGCAUAUAAAACAUCCAAAGUUGACAAGAUAAUAGCAUGGAACCAUCAAAAAUUAUAGAUACGUUGGAGACGUAUCAAGCAUCCCCAAGCUUAACNNNNNNNNNNAAAAAUGGGCCAAAAACACGAAAAAAACAGAAACUGGCACUUGGCACUGAGUUAAUAGGUUAGUCCCAAAAAAUAUAUAAAAUAGCAUAUUCAUGCAUAUAAACAAUCCAAAGUUGACAAGAUAAUAGCAUGGAACCAUAAAAAAUUAUAGAUACGUUGGAGACGUAUCAAGCAUCCCCAAGCUUAACUCCUGCUCGUCCUCAAGUAGGGAAGUGAUAAAGAAUGAAUUUUUGAUGCUUUCAUGCUACCUAGCAUAGAUGUCCUUUGUAACUCCUCUUAUGUGACAUGAAUGUUCAGAUCCGUUAGACUCAAAACAAUAGUUUUCUAUUGACGUGGAAACAAUAAUUACUGAAGCAAACUAGCAAGGUAAUCAUGAACUUUCGAAAUAACAAGGCCAAAAGAAAGUUAUCCCUACAAAAGCAUAUAGUCUGGCUAUGCUCUAUCAUCAUUGCACAACGAAUUUAAAUCUUGCACAACCCCGUUAUUGGCCAAGUAAUUGUUUCACGCCUUUACUUUCUCAAACCUUUUCAACUCUCACGCAAUACAUGAGCGUGAGCCAUGGUUUUAGCAAUAUAGAUGGUGUGGAGUGUGGUGGAGGUUGCAAGACAAAAAAGGAGAAGAUAAUCACAUUAACUAGGCAUACCAAUGAGCUGUGGAUAUGCUCAUCAAUAGAUAUCAAUGUGAAUGAGUAGGGAUUGCCAUACAAAUGAUGCNNNNNNNNNNNNNNNNNNNNNNNNNNNNNNNNNNNNNNNNNNNNNNNNNNNNNNNNNNNNNNNNNNNNNNNNNNNNNNNNNNNNNNNNNNNNNNNNNNNNNNNNNNNNNNNNNNNNNNNNNNNNNNNNNNNNNNNNNNNNNNNNNNNNNNNNNNUUGGAAAUAUGCCCUACAUGCAAUAAUAAAAUGGUUAUUAUCAUAUUUCCUUGUUCAUGAUAAUCGUCUAUUGUUCAUGCUAUAAUUGUAUUAACAGGAAACAGUAAUACAUGUGUGAAUAAAUAGAUCACAAUGUGUCCCUAGCAAGCCUCUAGUUGGCUAGCUCGUUAGUCAAUAGAUGAUCAUGGUUUCCUGAUCAUGGGCAUUAGAUGUCAUUGAUAACGGGAUCACAUCAUUGGGAGAAUGAUGUGAUGGACAAGACCCAAUCCUAAACAUAGCACUAGAUCGUGUUGUUCGUAUGCUAAAGCUUUUCUAAUGUCAAGUGUCUUUUCCUUCGACCGUGAGAUUGUGCAACUCCCGGAUACCAUAGGAAUGCUUUGGGUGUAUCAAACGUCACAACGUAACUGGAUGACUAUAAUGGUGCACUACGGGUACCUCUGAAAGUGUCUGUUGGGUUGGUACGAAUCAAGAUCAGGAUUUGUCACUCCGUGUGACGGAGAGGUAUCUCUGGGCCCACUCGGUAGAACAUCAUCAUGAGAUCAAUGUGACUAAGGAGUUAGUCAAACGAUUACGUGUUACGGAACGAGUAAAGAGACUUACCGGUAACGAGAUUGAACAAGGUAUAGGUAUACCGACGAUCGAAUCUCGGGCAAGUUCUAUACCGACAGACAAAGGUAAUUGUAUACGGGAUUGAUUGAAUCCUUGACAUCGUGGUUCAUCCGAUGAGAUCAUCGUGGAGCAAGUGGGAGCCACCAUGGNNNNNNNNNNCAGACCCCGCUGAUGGUUAUUGGCCAGAGAGGUGUCUCGGUCAUGUCUGCGUGUCUCCCGAACCCGUAGGGUCUACACACUUAAGGUUCAGUGACGCUAGUGUUAUAGGGAAUUGUUAUACGAGGUUACGGAAAGUUGUUCGGAGUCCCGGAUGAGAUCCCGAACGUCACGAGGAGCUCCGGAAUGGUCCGGAGGUAAAUAUUGAUAUAUAGGACGGAUGGUUUCGGACACCGGAAGUGUUUCGGGCAUCACCGGUAACGUACCGGGACCACCAGAGGUGGCCCCGGGGGUCCACCGAAGGGGGGCAACGACCCCGGGAGGUAAGAUGGGCCAAGUAGAGGAGGGAACCAGCACCUAGGUGGGCUGGUGCGCCUCCCCACUCAGCCCAAUGAACAGGGGGGUGAAAAGGGGGGGCAAACCCUAAGCCAGGUGGGCCUAAGGCCCACCAGGGGUGCGCCACACCCCUCCUUCCCCCCUUGGCCACCGCACCAGCCCCAUCUAGGGCUGCCCCCUAGGAGGGGGAAACCCUGAAGGGGGCGCAUCCCCUCCCUUCCCCUAUAUAUACCGGGCAAUUUUGGCCAUUGGGAGAUAGACUUUUCCCUCUCUCUCGGCGCAGCCCUGCCCUUCUUCCUCCUCCUCUCUGCAGGUGCUUGGCGAAGCCUUGCCGAGAGACCUCGUCUCUCCAUCAACACCACGCCGUCGUGCUGCUCGAUUUCUUCCCCAACCUCUCCCUCCUCCUUGCUGGAUCAAGGUGCGGGAGACGUCACCGGGCUGCACGUGUGUUGAACGCGGAGGUGCCGUAAUUCGGCACUAGAUCAGAAUCGCUGCGAGUACGACUCCAUCAACCACGUUCUAGCAACGCUUCCGCUUAGCGAUCUUCAAAGGUAUGAAGAUGCUCUUACCCCUCUAUCGUUGCUGGUCUGUCCAUAGAAAGAUCUGAAUAUGCGUAGGAAAAUUUUGAAUUUAUGCUACGUUACCCAACAACUAGUGGGUGUGCAUCCAACUUGCUUGCUCACGAAGUCCUAAGGCAAUUUUGAGGAAGCCUAUCAUUGGAAGAUACAAGCCAAGUGAUAUAAUGAAAAUUUCCUACUAGCUAUAUGGUGGUGACAAAACGAGAGACUCUCAAUCAUGAAGAUCAUGGUGCUUAAUAUCCACAAGUGUGGAAAAGUGGUAGCAUUGUCCCUUCUCUCUUUUUCUCUCAUAUAUUAUUUUUGGUGGGCUCUUUGGCCUCUUUUUUUAUUUUUUUAUUUUUAUUUUGGUGGGCAUAUUUGGCCAAUUUUAUUUCCUCACAUGAGAAAAUGCUCCAUCAAUGAUGAUCAUCACACUUUCAACUCAAAACUUAGAGCAACGAUGACUCUAUAUGGAAUGCCUUGGGUAGUGUACCGUGACAAUGAUCUAGCAUGGCAUAGACAUUAAAGGAAACAUCAUGCUAGCUAUCUUACAAUCAUGCAAUGGCAAUGUAGAUGUGGUGUCACAUGUCAUGGUGGUAGUUGCAAGGCAAUAUAUCUCGGAAUGACUUUGAAAAAGCCAUAGUAGGUAGGUAUGGUGGCUGUUUUGAGGGAGGCUAAUGGUGGNNNNNNNNNNCCACCUCAAGUAUCCGUGGGCAUGAUUAUACAAUAUGCAUCACAUAAUCUCAGAAUCAUCUAUUCAACCAACACAUAGAACUUCAGAGAGUGCCCCAAAGUUUCUACCAGAGAGUCAAAACGUGUGCCAACCCCUAUGCAUAGGUUCCCAAUGUCACGAACCCGCAAGUUGAUCACCAAAACAUACAUCGAGUACUCACAUGAAUCAAACUGUGCUAACCCAUAUGCAUAGGUUCCAAAUUUCACAAACCCGCAAGUUGAUCACAUCAGAUAGACACGCGAAAGACAUACAUUAAGUGUUCUCAAAGACUCAGUCCGAUAAGACAACUCCAAAGGGGAAACUCAAUUCAUUACAAGAGGGAGAGGGGGAAGANNNNNNNNNNGAAGCCCAUGGUACAUCGAGAUCAAUAUAUCUCAAGAACACGAGAGAGAGAGAUCAAACACAUAGCUACUGGUACAUACCCUCAGCCCCGAGGGAGAACUACUCCCUCCUUGUCAUGGAGAUCGCCGGGAUGAUGAAGAUGGCCACCGGAGAUGGACUCCCCCUCUGGCAGGGUGCCGGAACGGGCUUCAGAUUGGUUUUUGGUGGCUACAGAGGCUUGCGGCGGCAGAACUACCGAUCUAGGUUUCUUUUUGGGGGUUUCUGAAUUUAUAGGAAUUUAUGGCGGUGGAAUUACGUCGGUUGGGCCCACGAGGAGGUCACAAGCCUGGUCGCCGCCACCUAGGGGGGGGGGUGGGGGCGUCAGGGCUUGUGACUCCCUCGUGGCUCUUCUAGCCUUCUUUCAAAGCUUCGGGGGUCUCUUUUGGUCCAAAAACAAUCAUCGUAAAGUUUCAUUCCAUUUGGACUCCGUCUGAAAAUGGGCCAAAAACACGGAAAAAACAGAAACGGGCACUUGGCACUGAGUUAAUAAGUUAGUCCCAAAAAAGAUAUAAAAUAGCAUAUUCAUGCAUAUAAAACAUCCAAAUUUGACAAGAUAAUAGCAUGGAACCAUCAAAAACUAUAGAUACGUUGGAGACGUAUCAGGGUCCCAUUGUAAAAUGGGUACCUCUAACCGAGGUUUUAAAUGUGUGUAGGUUGCCUUCUCCGGUGGAGUUAAAUGGGUGAUUGAUAGCGGAUGCACAAAUCAUAUGACCGGAGAUGGCACAUUACUUAUGGACUUCAUGGAAGCAACUCGACCAUUUAUGAGCGGCGGUGGGACUAAAGGACACGUACUUGGGUUGGGCAAGGUAGCCAUCACAAAUGACAUGUCACUUGGAAAUGUGAUGCUUGUCCAAUCCCUUAAAUAUCACUUACUUUAUGUUUGUCAAUUGGCCUCAGUUGGCUAUGAUACACUAUUUUGAUUAACGAAUGUGAAAGUCUUUAAGAGAGAUACUCUUGAAGUUGUCUUUGUGGGGGAGUUGGACGGCAGCCUUUAUACAGUUGAUUUCUCGAAAGCGAGCACAUUCCAUGCAACUUGCCUCAUGGACAAGGCCGAAAAGGAAUGGCUAUGCCAUUACGGGAUAGCCCAUGUCGGUAUGAGAAAUAUUCAAGAUCUAUUAAAGGGUGAACACAUUCUUGGACUAACCAAUGUAUCGUUUGAGAAAGAUCGUGUGUGUAGUGCUUGCAUUGCAGGGAAGCAACAUCAAUCAAAACAUCUUCCCAAGAACAUUGUAUCAACAUCAAGACCCCUGGAGCUCCUUCAUGUGGAUCUCUUUGGGCCUCCUUCAUGGGAUAUCCUCAGUGGGAAGAAGUAUGGGUUUGUCAUUGUCAAAAUAUACAUGGGUGUUCUUUCUUAAAUCCAAGGAUGAGACAAAGAUCACCUUCAUUGACUUUGCCAAGCAAGCUCAACGCAAGUUUGACAAACAAAUCUUGGCAAUAAGAAGUGACAAUGGAUCUGAAUUCAAGAACUACACCUUGGAAGAGUUUCUUAGUGAUGAAGGUAUUGAGCAUCAAUACUCUGCACCAUAUACCCCCACAACAAAAUGGGGUAGCUGAAACAAAGAACCGCACACUUGUGGAAAUGGCAAGAUCCAUGCUGGAUGAGUACAAGUCUCCUCACGGUUUUUCGGCUGAAGCCGUGAACACCGCAUGUCAUGCUUCAAAUCACCUAUUCCUUCGCAAGAUCAUGGAGAAAACACAAUAUGAGCUCAUUACAUGGAAUAAGCCAAAUGUCAAGUAUUUCCGGGUGUUUGUCUGCAAAUGUUUCAUUCUCAACAAGAAAUAAUGGUUAGGAAAAUUUCAAUCUAAAACAACCGAGGGCAUAUUUGUUGGAUAUGGGUUAAACUCUCAUGCCUAUAGGAUCUACAACAAAUCCGCCGGAUGUGUUGCAGAAACUUGUGACGUGGUGUUUGAUGAAUUUAAUGGCUCCCAUGGGGAGCAAGUUGAUCUAAGUGAUGCAGGUGAAUAAGAUCCUUCACAAGACAUCUUGACCAUGGGUGUAGGAGCUCUCCUUCUGAUGGAACAUGUUCCCUAUGGAAGUGAAGAUGAGGACACAAGCACCACACAUACUCAUACAACAACUAUGCCUCUGCCACCACAUGAUAUCAUCCCUAAAGUGGAGUCCAUAGUUCAAGAACAACAAUAUGUUCAUGAUCAAGUACAAGAACAAGAUCAAGUUCAUCAUCAAGUAAAAGACCAAGAACAUGCAUAUGUCGACAUUGAUGAAACUGCUGAUGAUGAUGAACCUCAACAAAUGAUGCAUGAAGAUCUUCCUCCACACAUUCUGGAUCCUUCUGUGGAGGAUGUUGAUGAUGGGAACAAAGUUGAACCUCGUGAAACCUUAACCUCCAUCAUCCCUCGUGUGGCUGGUCGCGUUGACGUAGACCAAAUUCUCACCAAUAUAUCGGAAGGUAGAGCCACUCGUAAACAAUUGACAAACUUUUGUGCUCACUUUUCCUUUGUCUCUAGUGUUGUGCCUCUUAAGGCACAAGAUACGUUGAUGGAUCACGACUGGCUUGUCACUAUGCAAGAAGAGUUGCACAUCUUCGAGCGCAACCAAGUGUUGUCUUUAGUCCGAAGACCAACUAAGGAGCACAAUGUCAUUGGAACAAAGUGGAUCUUCAAGAACAAACAAGAUGAAAAUGGUGUUAACAUCACAAACAAGGGAAGGUUAGUGGCACAAGGGUUCUCACAGGUUGAAGGUUUGGACUUUGAUGAGACCUUUGCCCCCGUUGCCCGUCUUGAAUCAAUUCACAUUUUAGUUGCUUAUGUUGCCUUCAAUGGUUUUACUUUACACCAAAUGGACGUUAAGAGUGCUUUUAUUAACGUCCCACUACAAGAAGAAGUAUAUGUUGCACAACCACCUGGGUUUAUUGACCCCGAUCACAAAGAUUAUGUGUACAAACUUCACAAGGCCUUGUAUGGCCUCAAACAAGCACCUUGUGCUUUCUAUGAUCAUCUUAAGAAGUUUCUACUCGAUGAUGGUUUUGUGAGAGGGGUGAUUAACCCUACUCUCUUCACUAAGAGGGGAAAGGUGAUUUAAUCUUGUGUCAAAUUUACGUAGAUGAUAUCAUUUUUUGUUCCCCUAACAUUCAUUUAUGCAAGAAAUUUGCGGACUCCAUGACAAAAUACUUUGAAACGUCACUGGACACGGAUUUGAAAUUCUUUCUCGGUUUCCAAAUCCAACAAUGUCAAGAAGGAAUAUUUCUAUCUCAAACCAAGUACUUAAAGGAUAUUCUUGCAAAGUUCGGCAUGACAAACACUAGUCCAUGCAAGGUACCCAUGCCAACCACAGCCUCUCUUAACGAGGACACAAACGGUAUUCCAUUUGACCCAUCUAUUUACCGCUCUAUGAUUGGUUCAUUACUUUAUCUUUGUGCAUAUACACCAGACAUCACGUUAAGUGUAGGCAUUUGUGCUAGAUUUCAAGCUUCCCCGAAGGAAAGCCAUAAUAAGGCGGUUAAGCAUAUUCUUAGAUACCUUGUUCACACCCCAAGCUUGGGUCUAUGGUACCCCAAGGAUGCCAAGUUUGAUCUCAUUGGAUACACAUAUGCAGAUUGGGCAGGAGACAAAGUGGGAAGAAAAUCCACCUCCGGGGCUGCUACGACGACACAAGAUUGAUUGCAAAGUGAGAUCUCAAGGCGGAAAGUGCAACGAAGUAAAAGUGUAAGGCUGAAAAUAUGAUGUGAAGUAGACCCGGGGGCCAUAGUGUUCACUAGAGGCUUCUGUCAAAAUAGCAAAUAUUAGGGUGGGUGAACAAAUUACUGUCGAGCAAUUGAUAGAACCGUGCAAAGUCAUGACGAUAUCUAAGGCAAUGAUCAUACAUAUAGGCAUCAUGUCUGAGACAAGUAGACCGAUAGUUUCUGCAUCUACUACUAUUACUCCACACAUCGACCGCUAUCCAGCAUGCAUCUAGUGUAUUGAGUUCAUGACGAACAAAGUAACGCCUUAAGCAAGAUGACAUGAUGUAGAGGGAUAAACUCAAACCAAUGAUGAAACCCCCAUCUUUUUACCCUUGAUGGCAACAACAUGAUGCGUGCCUCGCUACCCCUUUUGUCACUGAGUGAGGUCACCGCACGGUAUGAACCCAAAACCAAGCACUUCUCCCAUUUCAAGAAUCAUAGAUCUAGUUGGCCAAACAAAACCCACAACUCGAAGAGAAUUACCAGGAUAUGAAAUCAUGCAUAAGAGAGAUCAGAAGAAACUCAAAUAAGAUUCAUAGAUAAUCUGAUCAUAAAUCCACAAUUCAUCGGAUCUUGACAAACACACCACAAAAGAAGAUUACAUCGGAUUUACUCCAUGAAGAUCAUGGAGAACUUUGUAUUGAAGAUCCAAGAGAGAGANNNNNNNNNNCUACUAGCUAUGGACCCAUAGGUCUGUGGUGAACUACUCACGCAUCAUCGGAGAGGUCAUAGUGUUGAUGAAGAAGCCCUCCGUAUCCGAAUCCCCCUCCGGCAGGGCACCAGAACGUGCCCCAGAUGGGAUCUUGCGGAGACAGAAGCUUGCAGCGGCGGAAAAGUACUUUUGAUGAUCUCUUGAUUUUUUCUGGGAUUUUAGGGAAUAUAUAGGCGGAAGACCUAGGGAGAGGUGGCCCAGGGAUCCCACAAGCCUCGGAGGCGCGGGCCCCCCCUAGCCGCAGCUAGGGGGCUUGUGGGGUCCCUGCUGGCCCCUGCACUGAUUCUCAAGCUUCCCGAUCUUCUUUUGUUUUGGAAAAAAUCUUUUUGGAAGUUUCGUUCCGUUUGGACUCCGUUUGAAAUCCUCCUCUAAAAGGGGUCAAAAACAUGGAAAAAAACAGGAACUGGCACUUGGCACUGAGUUAAAAAGUUAGUCCCAAAAAAGAUAUAAAAGGCAUACAAAACAUCCAAGGUUUGACAAGAUAAUAGCAUGAAACCAUAAAAAAUUAUAGAUACGUUGGAGACGUAUCAAGCAUCCCCAUGCUUAACUCCUGCUCGUCCUCGAGUAGGGAAGUGAUAAAGAAUGAUUUUUGAUGUGGAAUGCUACCUAGCAUAGUUGUCCUUGGCAACUUCUUUCAUGUGACAUGAAUGUUCAUAUCCGUAAGAUUCAAAACAAUAGUUUGCUAUUGACAUGAAAAUAAUAAUACUUCAAGCGAACUAGCAAGGUAAUCAUGAACUUUCAAAAUAACAAGACCAAAGAACGUUAUCCCUACAAAAUCAUAUAGUCUGGCUAUGCUCCAUCAUCCUCACACAACUAAUGUAAAUCAUGCCCAACCCCGGUAUUGGCCAAGUAAUUGUUUUCACACUCUUACUUUCUCAAACCUUUUAUAACUAUCACACAAUACAUGAGUGUGAGCCAUGGAUAUAGCACUAUAUGUGGAAUAGAGUGUGGUGGUAGUUGUGGGACAAAAAAGAGGAGAUGGUCACAUUGACUCGGCGUAUCAAAGGGCUAUGGAGAUGCCCAUUAAUAGAUAUCAAUGUGGAUGAGUAGGGAUUGCCAUACAAAGGAUGCACUAGAGCUAUAAGUAUGUGAAAGCUCAAAAGGAGAACUAGUGGGUGUGCAUCCAACUUGCUUGCUCACGAAGACCUAGGGCAAUUUUGAGGAAGCCCAUCAUUAGAAUAUACAAGCGAAGUUAUAUAAUGAAGAUUCCCACUAGCAUAUGGUGGUGACGAAACGAGAGGCUCUCAAUCAUGAAGAACAUGGUGCUAUUAUGAAGCACAAGUAUGGAAGAAGAUGUAGCAUUGUCCCUUCUCUCUUUUUUCUCUCUUUUUUAAUUUUUAUGGGCUCUUGGGCCUAUUUUUUUGGGCUCUUUGGGCUCUUUUUUAUUUCCUCACAUGGGACAAUGCUCUAAUAAUGAUGAUCAUCACACUUUUAUUUACUCACAUCUCAAAGCUUAGAACGAUGAUGACUCUACAGGAAAUGCCUCCGGCAGUGUACCGGGAUGUGCAACGAUCUAUCUUAGCGUAUGACGUUGAAACAUCUCGCUAGCUAUCUUAUGAUCAUGCAAUGGCAAUAUGAGAGUGACGGAACAAGUCAUGAGACGGAAUGGUGGGAGUUGCAUGGUAAUAUAUCUCGGAAUGACUAUGAAAAUGCCAUAGUAGGUAGGUAUGGUGGCUGUUUUGAGGAAUGCAUAUGGUGGGUUUGUGCAUCGGCGAGAAUUGCGCGGCACUAGGGAGGCUAGCAAUGGUGGAAGGUGAAAGUGCAUCUAUACCAUGGACUCACAUUAGUUAUGAAGAACUCACAUACUUGUUGUGAAAGUUUUUAUUAGUAAUCGAAACAAAGUGCUAAACGCAUACUCCUAGGGGAAGGGUUGGUAGGUGUUAACCAUCGCGUGAUCCCGACCUCAACACAAAGGAUGACAAUCAAUAGAUCAAUUGUGCUCCGACUUCCUAACAUAGCGGUUCACCAUAUGUGCAUGCUACGGGAAUCACUAACUUCAACACAAGUAUUUCUAGAUUCACAACACCUUACUAACAUAACUCUUAAUAUUACCAAAUCCACGUCUGAAAACUAAUUGAGAGGAAUCAAGACUUCUCUUUCUACUCAAUGCACAUGAAGAUGGAGGUUUUUGUAUCCUCUUUGGGUACCUAUCACCUUUGGGACUACUUUCAUAUCAUAAGUCAACUACCAAGUCACGCACCGCCGUGCUCUAAAAGAUCUAAGUGAAGCACAUAGAGCAAAAUUAUCUAGCUCAAAAGAUAUAAGUGAAGCACGAUGAGCAUUCUAGCAAAAUCACGAUGAGUGCAUGUCUCUCUCUAAAGGUGUGUAGCAAGGAUGAUUGUGACACAACAAAAAUAAAAUACUCCUACGAUACAAGACGCUCCAAGCAAAACACAUAUCAUGUGGUGAAUAAAAUAUAGCUCCAAGUAAUGUUACCGAUGGAUUGAAGACAAAAGAGGGGAUGCCUUCCCGAGGCAUCCCCAAGCUUAGGCUUUUUGGUGUCCUUGAAUUUGGCUUGGGAUACCUUGGGCAUACCCAAGCUUGAGCUCUUUCCAGUCCUUAUCUCUUUGUCCAUGAGAACAUCACCCAAAACUUGAAAACUUCACAACACAAAACUUAAACAGAAACUCGUGAUAACAUUAGCACAAGAAAACAAACUACCAUCUCUUUUGGUACUGUAGAAAACUUGAAUUCCAUCUAUAUUGAUGAUGGGCUACUGUAUUCUCACUUUCACAUGGCUAGUACCCCCCCCCCCCCNNNNNNNNNNNNNNNNNNNNNNNNNNNNNNNNNNNNNNNNNNNNNNNNNNNNNNNNNNNNNNNNNNNNNNNNNNNNNNNNNNNNNNNNNNNNNNNNNNNNAUUUACAUGUGUGGAUACAUAGACAAAACACUGUCCCUAGCAAGCCUCUAGUUGGUAGCCUGUUGAUCAAAGAUAGUCAGUGUCUUCUGAUUAUGAACAAGGUGUUAUUGCUUGAUAACUGGAUCACGUCAUUAGUAGAAUCACGUGAUGGACUANNNNNNNNNNAUUCCUGUAUCAAGAUAAUCGUUUAUUAUCCAUGCUAUAAUUGUAUUGAAUGAAGACUCGUUUACAUGUGUGGAUACAAAGACAAAACACUGUCCCUAGCAAGCCUCUAGUUGGCUAGCCAGUUGAUCAAAGAUAGUCAGUGUCUUCUGAUUAUGAACAAGGUGUUGUUGCUUGAUAACUGGAUCACGUCAUUAGUAGAAUCACGUGAUGGACUAGACCCAAACUAAUAGACGUAGCAUGUUGAUCGUGUCAUUUUGUUGCUACUGUUUUCUGCGUGUCAAGUAUUUGUUCCUAUGACCAUGAGAUCAUAUAACUUACUAACACCGGAGGAAUACUUCGUGUGUAUCAAACGUCGCAACGUAACUGGGUGACUAUAAAGAUGCUCUACUGGUAUCUCCGAAGGUGUUUGUUGAGUUAGUAUGGAUCAAGACUGGGAUUUGUCACUCCGUGUGACGGNNNNNNNNNNUGUAUCAAACGUCGCAACAUAACUGGGUGACUAUAAAGAUGCUCUAUAGGUAUCUCCGAAGGUGUUCGUUGNNNNNNNNNNNNNNNNNNNNNNNNNNNNNNNNNNNNNNNNNNNNNNNNNNNNNNNNNNNNNNNNNNNNNNNNNNNNNNNNNNNNNNNNNNNNNNNNNNNNCACUUCACCAUUAUUUGGGCCUAGAGGAAGGCAUUGGAAAGUAGUAAGUAGAUGAUGGGUUGCUAGAGUGACAGAAGCUUAAACCCUAGUUUAUGUGUUACUUCGUAAGGGGCUGAUUUGGAUCCACUAGUUUCAUGCUAUGGUUAGACUUUGUCUUAAUUCUUCUUUCGUAGUUGCGGAUGCUUGCGAAAGGGGUUAAUCAUAAGUGGGAUGCUUGUCCAAGUAAGGGCAGUACCCAAGCGCCGGUCCACCCACAUAUCAAACUAUCAAAGUAACGAACGUGAAUCAUAUGAACAUGAUGNNNNNNNNNNCGUUGCUUCGUAAGGGGCUGAUUUGGAUCCACUAGUUUAAUGUUAUGGUUAGACUUUGUCUUAAUUCUUCUUUCGUAGUUGCGGAUGCUUGNNNNNNNNNNAAAACUAGCAUGACAGAAAUUCCCCUGUGUCCUCGGGAGCGUUUUUCCUCCUAUAAGACUUUGUCCAGGAUUGUCCCUUGCUACAAAAGGGAUUUGGCCACUUUGCUGCACUGUUGCUACUUUUGUUACUUGUUGCUUGCUACGAAUCAUCUCACCACACAAUCACUUGUUACCGACAAUUUCAGUGCCUGCAGAUUUUACCUUGCUGAAAACCACUUGUCAGAUCCUUCUGCUCCUCGUUGGGUUUGACACUCUUACUUAUCAAAAGGACUACGAUUGAUCCCCUAUACUUGUGGGUCCUCAAGACUCUUUUCUAGCGCCGUUGCCGGGGAGUGAAGCGCCUUUGGUAAGUGGAACUUGGUAAGGAAACAUUCNNNNNNNNNNNNNNNNNNNNNNNNNNNNNNNNNNNNNNNNNNNNNNNNNNNNNNNNNNNNNNNNNNNNNNNNNNNNNNNNNNNNNNNNNNNNNNNNNNNNGGGAGCAACCCACCCCGGGGAAGCCCAUAGGCCUUGAGGGUGGCGCAUCAGCCCUUAGUGGGCUGGUGGGACAGCCCAAAAGGGCCCUAUGUGCAUUGGAAGAAAAAUCAAAGAGAAAAAAAAGGAGGAGGUGGGAAAGGAAAGAAGGACUCCACCCACCAAACCAAGUAGGACUCGGUUUGGGGGGGGGGGUCCUUCCCCCCUUUGGCUCGGCGGCAAGGUCCCCCCUCUCCCACCUAUAUAUAUGGAGGUUUUAGGGCUGAUUUGAGACGACUUUUCCACGGCAGCCCGACCACAUACCUCCACGGUUUUUCNNNNNNNNNNUAGAUCGCGUUUCUGCGGAGCUCGGGCGGAGCCCUGCUGAGACAAGGUCAUCACCAACCUCCGGAGCGCCGUCACGCUGCCGGAGAACUCUUCUACCUCUUCGUCUCUCUUGCUGGAUCAAGAAGGCCGAGAUCAUCGUCGAGCUGUACGUGUGCUGAACGCGGAGGUGCCGUCCGUUCGGUACUAGAUCGUGGGACUGAUCGCGGGAUUGUUCGUAGGGCGGAUCAAGGGACGUGAGGACGUUCCACUACAUCAACUGCGUUCACUAACGCUUCUGCUGUACGGUCUACAAGGGUAUGUAGAUCACUCAUCCCCUCUCGUAGAUGGACAUCACCAUGAUAGGUCUUCGUGCGCGUAGGAAAUUUUUUGUUUCCCAUGCGAGGUUUCUCAACAGUGGCAUCAUGAGCUAGGUUCAUGCGUAGAUGUCUUCUCGAGUAGAACACAAAAGUUUCUGUGGGCGGUGAUGUGCGUUUUGCUGCCCUCCUUAGUCUUUUCUUGAUUCCGCGGUAUUGUUGGAUUGAAGCGGCUUGGACCGACAUUACUCGUACGCUUACGAGAGACUGGUUUCAUCGCUACGAGUAACCCCGUUGCUCAAAGAUGACUGGCAAGUGUCGGUUUCUCCAACUUUAGUUGAAUCGGAUUUGACCGAGGAGGUCCUUGGAUGAGGUUAAAUAGCAACACAUAUAUAUUCGUUGUGGUGUUUGCGUAAGUAAGAUGCGAUCCUAGUAGAUACCCAUGGUCACCACGUAAAACAUGCAACAACAAAAUUAGAGGGCGUCUAACUUGUUUUUGCAGGGUAUGCUUGUGAUGUGAUAUGGCCAAGAUGUGAUGUGAUAUAUUGGAUGUAUGAGAUGAUCAUGUUGUAAUAGAUAAUAUCGACUUGCACGUCGAUGGUACGGCAACCGGCAGGAGCCAUAGGGUUGUCUUUAUACUAACGUUUCUGCUUGCAGAUGCGUUUACUAUUUUGCUAGGAUGUAGCUUUAGUAGUAAUAGCAUGAGUAGCACAACAACCCCGAUGGCGACACGUUGAUGGAGAUCAUGGUGUGGCGCCGGUGACAAGAAGAUCGUGCCGGUGCUUUGGUGAUGGAGAUCAAGAAGCACGUGAUGAUAGNNNNNNNNNNNNNNNNNNNNNNNNNNNNNNNNNNNNNNNNNNNNNNNNNNNNNNNNNNNNNNNNNNNNNNNNNNNNNNNNNNNNNNNNNNNNNNNNNNNNUCAAGUGAAUUUAUAAAAUUCCUAGACUCAGAGCAAAAGUUUCUGUUUUUCAGCAGAAUCAACUUGCAAAUAUUAGUACUUUUGUAAUAAUUGUGUUUUCUCAUUUUAAUUAGUGUUUGAGCCAAGUAAAAUCUUUGGGAUGGUCCAUGGUGUUUGCAAGUUGAUUCUGCUGAAAAACAGAAACUUUUGCUCUGAGUCUAGGAAUUUUAUAAAUUCACUUGAAUGUACUUUUGAUCUGAAUUGUUUACACAAGAUUGGUUUACCAAAUUCACAGAUCGUCCUAUUUUUUCAGAAUUUGUGGAGUUACACAAGUAUUUGAAGUAAAUAGGUUGCUACAGACUAUUUUGUUUUUGACAGAUUCUGUUUUCUUUGUAUUGUUUUCUUAUUUUUAUGAAUCUAUGGGUUGUAUCGGGGGGUAUGAACCAUGGAGAAGUUGGAAUACAGUAAAUAUUACAUCAAUAUAAAUAAAGAAUGAGUUCACAACAGUACCUAAGUGGUGAUUUAUUUUUCUUAUACUAACGGAUCUCAUGAGUUUUCUGUUGAAUUUUGUGUUGUGAAGUUUUCAUGUUUUGGGUAAAGAUUUGAUGGACUACGGAAUAAGGAGUGGCAAGAGCCUAAGCUUGGGGAUGACCAAUGCACCCCAAGCCAUAUUCAAGGAUACCAAAGAGCCUAAGCUUGGGGAUGCCCCGGAAGGCAUCCCCUCUUUCGUCUUCAAUCCAUGGGUAAAUUUACUUGAGGCUAUAUUUUUAUUCACCACAUGAUAUGUGUUUUUCUUGGAGCGUCUUGUAUGAUAUGAGUAUUUACUUUCUAGUUUGACACAAUCAUCCUUGCUGCACACACCUUUUGAGCGAGAGACAUGCUGAAUCAUGAAUUUAUUAGAAUACUCUUUAAGCUUCACUUAUAUAUUUUUGCUAGGCAAUGUUGCUCUAGUACUUCACUUAUAUCUUUUAGUGCACGGCGGUGUUUUGUUUUAUGGAAAUUUUUAAACUCUCAUACUUCACUUAUAUUAUUUUGAGAGUUCUUUAAGCGGCAUGGUAAUUGGUUUUGGUUAUGAAUUUAGUCCUAAUAUAAUAGGCGUCCAAGAGGGAUAUAAUAAAAACUUUCAUAUUAAGUGCAUUGAAUAUGAUGAGAAGUUUGAUUCUUUGCAUAUAGUUUUGAGGUGUGAAGAUGGUAAUAUGAGAGUCAUGCUAGUAAGUAAUUUUUAAUUAGAACAAAUACUUGUGACGAAGCUUGUGAUUCCCGUAGCAUGCAUGUAUGGUGAACCAUUAUGUGAUGAAGUCGGAGCAUGAUUUGUCUAAUGAUUGACAACCUUUGUGUGGAGGUCGGGAUCGCGCGAUGGUUAACUCCUACCAACCCUUCCCCUAGGAGCAUGCGUCUAAUACUUUGAUUCGAUAAGUAAUAGGCUUCUGCAAUAAGUAUGUGAGUUCUUUAUGACUAAUGUUGAGUUCAUGGAUUAUACGCACUCGCACCCUUUCACCUUUGCUAGCGUCUCUAGUAACGCGCAACUUUCGCCGGCACAUUAAACCCACCUUCCUCAAAACAGACACCAUAUAUUUACCUCAGAACAUCCACCAUACCUACCUAUUAUGGCAUUUUCAUAACCAUUCCGAGAUAUAUUGCCAUGCAACACCACCGUCUAGUUUUUAUGACAUGCGCCAUCACUUCCACAUUGCUUAUAGAGUCAUACUUUCUUCUAGAUAUCGAGUUGUAAUCUAUGAGCUGUAAUUAAAUAAAAGUGUGAUGAUUUGCAUUAUUAGAGCAUUGUCCCGUGUGAGAAAAAUGAGGAUGGAAGCUAUGCUUCCCUCACAAGUUGGGAUGAGUCUCCAGACUUUACAAAAAACAAAAGAGGCCAGCAAAGCCCAUAAAAAAUAAAAGAUGCCAAAGAAGCCUAUCCAAAAAAGAAGAAAAAUUGAGAGAAAGAGAGAAGGGACAAUGCUACUAUCUUUUUCCACACUUGUGCUCCAAAAUAGCACCAUGUUCUUCAUAGAGAGUCUCCUAUGUUGUCACUUUCAUAUAACUAGUGGGAUUACAUCGUUUGCAAAACUACUUAGUUUUCUUUUUGAGCUUUCAUACACUUAUAGCUCUACUGCAUAUGUUGCAUGGCAAUCCAUACUCACUCACAUUGAUAUCUAUUGAUGGGCAUCUCCAUAGCCCGUUGAUAUUCCUAGUUGAUGUGAGACUAUCUUGUUCCUUUCUUUUUUGCAACCUCCACCAUAUUCUAUUCCACCUAUAGUGCUAUAUCCAUGGCUCACGCUCAUGUAUUGCAUGAGAGUUGAAAAGGUAUGAGAACAUAAAAGGUGUGAAACAAUUGCUUGAUUUUCAUCGGGGUUGUGCAUGAUUUAGAUACAUUGUGUCGUGAAGAUGGAGCAUAGCCAGACCAUAUGAUUUUAUAGCGAUAACAUUCUAAGACCAUGUUAUUUUGAAAGGCAGCAAUUGCCUUAUUAGUAUGCUUGAAAUAUUAUUGUUUUAUGUCAAUUAGACCUUUCUUGAGUCUUAUGGAUCUGAAUAUUCAUUCCACAUUAGAGAAUAUUACAUGGAUAAAUAUGUUAGGUAGCAUUCCACAUCAAAAAUUCUGUUUUUAUCAUUUACCUACUCUAGGACGAGCAGGAAUUAAGCUUGGGGAUGCUGAUAUGUCUCCAAGGUAUCUAUAAUUUUUUAUUGUUCCAUGCUAUUAUAUUAUGUGUUUUGGAUGUUUUAUAUGCAUUUAUAUGUUGUUUCAUAUUAUUUUUGGGACUAACCUAUUAAUCUAGAGCCUAGUGCGAGUUUCUGUUUUUCCCACGUUUUUGAAUAUUGUAGAUAAAUAAUAUUAAACAAAGUCCAAACGGAAUAAAAUCUCCGGAAAAUUUUUUCUUGGACCAGAAGACACGCGGCAGACUUGGGGUAGGGGUCAAGGCAGUUGUCGUGAGGCCAGAAGCGUGCAAGGCGUGCCCUAGGGGGUGGUCGCGCCCCCUGGCUUGUGGCCCCCCUGCAGGUCUCCUAACCCUAAUUCUUGUCCUAUAAAUUCCCAAAUAUUCCCGUAUCGCCAGAAAGAGCCACGAAAAUACUUUUACGCCGCCGGGAGCCUCUGUACCUGAAGAUCCAAUCUGGGAGCCUUUUUCAGUAAUCUAUCGGAGAGGGAAUCGAUCACGGAGGGCAUCUACAUCAAAUCUAUUGCCCCUCCGAUGAAGCGUGAGUAGUUCACCACACACCUACGGGUCCAUAGCUAGUAGCUAGAUGGCUUCCUCUCUCUCUUUGAUCUUCAAUACCAUGUUAUUCAUGAUCUUCAUGGAGAUCUAUCCGAUGUAAUACUCUUUUACGGUGUAUUUGUUGAGAUCUGAUGAAUUGUGAGUUUAUGUUCAGAUUAUUUAUGAAUAUUAUUUGAGUCUUUCCUGAAUUCUUAUAUGCAUGAUUUCAUAUCCUUGCAAGUCACUUCGAAUUAUUUGUUUGGUUUGGCCAACUAGAUUGGUAAUUCUUGCAAUGGGAGAAGUGCUUAGCUUUGGGUUCAAACUUGUGGUGUCCUUACCGAGUGACAGUAGGGGUAACGAGACAUGUAUUAUAUUGUUGCCAUCAAGGAUAAAAAGAUGGGGUUUUCAUAAUAUUGUUUAAGUUUAUCCCUCUACAUCAUGCCAUCUUACUUAACGCGUUACUCUUUUCUUCAUGAACUUAAUACUCUAGAUGCAGGCAGGAGUCGGUCGAUGUGUGGAGUAAUAGUAGUAGAUGCAGAAUCGUUUCGGUCUACUUGUCACGGACGUGAUGCCUACAUGCAUAAUCAUUGCCUUGGGUAUCUUCAUAAUUAUUUGCUUUUCUAUCAAUUGCAAUAGUAAUUUGUUCACCCACCGUAUUAUUUUCCUUUAUGAGAGAAGCCUCUAGUGAAACCUAUGGCCCCUGGGUCUUUUUUCCAUAAUGUAUUUUCAUAUCUAUAAACCGAAAAUACCAAAAAUACUUUGCUGUAAUUUACUUACUUUAGUUUUACUUUCAGAUCUAUCACUAUUUUAUAUAUAUCUCUAUCAGAUCUCAUCCUUGCAAGGGGGGGAUAACUCUGAAGGGAUUGACAACCCCUUUAUAGCGUUGGGUGCAAGUGUUUGAUACUUGUGCAGGUACUACUAUUGGAGCCUUGCUUGUUCCUUCUACUGGAUUGAUACCUUGGUUCCCAACAAACUGAGGGAAAUACUUAUCUACUUCGCUGCAUCACUCUUUCCUCUUCAAGGGAAAACCAAUGCAAGCUCAAGAGGUAGAAAGCACUUCAUUAAAAUCUCCCAAGCUGAGCCAUGGAAGAUUACUAGAAUUUGACAGAUUUUCCAGGGUGUCCCAGGUAAGGUAUAUCUCCUCAGCCUGGGCUUCUCCAUACACCAGAGUCAUAUGCCAUGGAUUAGACCCUAGGCUACCAACAGAAGCAUGAAUGUGAUACUUUGAAUAGCUCAAAAUUUCUAACUUUAUUUCCUUAGUCCAAAAUAUUCCAAGACCACCACUCCUACCAGAGCUGGUAACAACAAAACUUCAUUCAUACCCAAAGGUAGAUGCCAGAGCUUCGACACAUGAACUACUAAUUUGAGUUUUAAAAAUACCGAGCACGGUCGGGGCAAACUUUCUCGCGAGAUCGCGGAUUUCUUGGACCGUCGCGGCAUUGCCCACUCCGCGACAAUUCCACGCCAUGAGACUCAUCGGGCCGGGUGGUCCUCCACGAGGGAGGCCGCCAAAUGUCCAUCAGAUGAAGUAGGUUUGCUUGGGGAGUUUCCCGUACGUGCCUUCUUUCGUUCACUCGGAGAGAUAUAAGAGGGAUGCGCAGGUGGAACAAGCCCAUCCUUGGCUUCCCCUGAGACUUGGUUCUUCUCUGCACCAAGCUUCACUUUGAAACCAACAGAGACAACAUUCAUAUCGAGCUUCCUUGCCGUUUGGGUCUUCUCCCCUUGAUUUCUCUCCUCCGUGCUAACUGGAUCAGUUGUAGGAUGUUCUCUUGGUGGUUCUUCUAAAGGACUCUGAGACGUGUCCUGUUCUCCCUCGUCAUCCUGUAGCCCAGCAUCGUCGGAGCUUCUCUUACAAGGUGCUCCCCAGCCACCUCUGCCCCUUCCACUAAAACCACGUGUGAAGGCAGGCAUGUGCUCAUUUUCCCGAUCGACCCUGGUCGACCUUCUCUUCGCCAAUAGCCCUUUUCCCCACAGAAUCUUCUCUGGCGGGUGAACACCGUCACCACAUUCCUCCUUGUUAUCGCCCAGGAGGCCACAUACUUCGCAAAAAUAUCCUAUCUUUUCAUAUUCGACCUCAAGGAAAAUUCUCUCCCCAGCCUGGUUCAAUGGCUUCGAGACCUCUAUGCUGGCCCAUACAAAAGAUGUAGUUCCCCUCAUAGUAACGUGUAGGGCUCAAUUCCACACUCUGAACGAUCCCUAUCCUCCUUGCCAGUUGAUCAACGAUGGAUUUCUUUCGAAACAAAUUUGGGAUCUUGUGGAUCUGCGCCCGAAACAGCUAUCCUCUCAAGCUUGACUGACUCUGUUUCUCUUUUCCCAUCGAACUCCUCGAUGAGCACCAUGAGUCCCCGGAAGAUCCAUGGGCCUUGGAACAUCACCCUCUUCCAAUAUCCCAGACAAAAAACUUUGAUCCCAAAAAGAUUGUCAUCUACCUCUCUAAACUCAGGCUCAUGCGCUAAGUUCCCAAAUGAUUUUAGGGUUUCCUUCAACGUAGAUGUGCUGAAAGUUUUGGAGGUGUUCAUCCUUGCGAAAGCCAGCCAACGAGACUCCUUUGCAUGUUUUUCAAUCUUCUCUUCCCCGAUAUAGACUUCGUCGAGUUCCCCCUCUUGCACCCUCAUGUGCUUCAUGGCCGCCUCCGGUCCUACAUCAACCUUCUCCUUCCCGCUCUCACACCUCUGCGUGCCUGAGCCAGACGCAGCCAUUGACAAAAACUCAACGCCGGAUAGUGAAAAACCCUAGUCGUUGCACGCGGCUAGGUCAUACGCUAGAAAUGGUAUGGUGAAGCGUCAAAUAUGGAAUAGACCAUUUCCGGAUUAUGGAUCGUAAGUAAACACCCGCAACACCAGAGGUGGGCCGGAUUUGAUACCGUUAUGUAAAUAUAUAAAAUAAGUAAUUGUACGCAACCCAACAUGAAAUAUGGCAUUGGAUUCGUCUAAUUCUGGCCUGGCCCACCUAGUAAGGCCCAUCGCGAGACAAGAUAAGGUUCUCGUUUAUUAUCUAUAAUUAAAGAUUCCCCUAAAAAAUCUAUAUAAUUAAAGAAGUUUGAAUCUUUUCUUUUUGCGGGGGAAAGAGGUUCUCACUUAUUGGCUUGUGCAGUUCAACCAGUUCUACAAAACCUUCAAGAAUAGUAUAGUUUGUGCAGAUUUGGUUGUAUGCAGUUUAUUCAUGUAAUCAUGAUGAAAAAUGAGAUGCAAAAGGUGAACCCCUCACGGGCGACUUUUGAAGAACCUUGAUGAAACUUAUGGUUUUAUCACAGAUCUAUGCCAUUUGUAUUUUUUAGUUCAUUUCACCGAAUGCAAUUUAUUUCACUGUUUUCUCAUGGAUCUUUGGCAUUUGUAUUUUCCAGUUCAUCUAUGUAAAUCAUGGUGGAAAAUGGGAUGCAAAAGGUGAACCUAUAGAAUACGACUUUCGAAGAACCUUGAAGCAACUUACGGUUUUAUCAAAGAUCUAUGUUGUUUGUAUUUUUUUAGUUAUUUCACAUAAUUUUAUUAAUUUCACGGAUAUAUGCCAUCUGUAUAUUAUUAUCUUAUCUAUGUAAAUCAUGAUCGUAAAUGAGAUGCAAAAGGUGAGCCUAUAGAGGAUGACUUUUGAAGAACCUUGAUGAAACUUAUGGUUUUGUCGCAUAUCUAGUUUAUUUCUAUUUGUGGCCUAAUGUAGUUUGUUUAGUUAAUCAUUAAAACUAAGAUACAAGCAGACAAUGUUUUUAUUCUGAAGAAACAGUAGUGGAGGUUAGAGAACAUGUCUAGCGAUACCGGCCUUUAACUAACAACACCAUUAUAUACAAAGAAAGAUUCUCCGACUUAAGGUGACUGGCAUAUGGGUCAGUUUGCCCUCGGGCCUACUUGUUAGCCACUAAAAAGUUUUUUCACUUCAGUUAGAGGAUCUCAGUCCAUCAUAUCCACCUCAAAAGGUCGUGCCAAUAAUAAUUUAAAAUUCUAGUAAAAAAUAUGCAUAGAGGAUUAUAUGACGAAAGGCCUUGCAAAUUGUAAACCAAAAUGGGGUGUAUAUCAAUAGAGAAAAAAUACAAAUACAUGUUACUGCAUCUUCUUAUUCCUUUUUUAUUUUGAAGUCCUUUUCAACAUGUUUUGUUUAUUUAUUCGCACAGUGGUAACUCGAUUUUGAAGCAAAAUUGUAGAUUGCUUCAGUGUCAAUCUUAUGGAAACCAAAGUUGUACGAAAGCCGCGAUAAGAAAUAUGGAUCGGAGGGAGUAGGAAUUUUCAUGACCAAUUGCCAUAGUUCUUUAGAGUGGUGUCAUGGUGUAAUAUAAAGGCUAGCAUCACUAGAUACCCUUCUCAAGGAGGUUGCUACAUGGCAUACGCAUUACAAAAGCACUUGUCCUUCACUUCUUACCCUUGUUAAAAACCUGGCUUACAAAUCAGUAAAUGGAAAAAAGAACGGAUUAGCGGCACAUGUAUUUGAGAGAUCGAUAGAAGAGGUCUCUAGAGGGGGGUGAGUAGACUACUAGCAUAAUUAAAAUCCUAGCCUUUUUGCAAUUUAAUGGUUGAUAGAUUUUAGCGAUUCCAACAAGUCUGAUGCACCCUAUACAUGCUAGUCAACAAAUGUGGUAGUGGAAAAGUAAAGACUUUACACAUGUAGUAAGGAGUAGAGUUUAGGAAGAUCAAACGUGAAGAAGUUGACCCGGUGAUUUUUUGCAUGGUUCCGAUAGGUGGCGCUACCGUUCGUCCAUGUUAGUGGAGACUGUUGGGGAACGUUGCAUGGAAAACAAAAAAAAUCCUACGCACAAACACGAUCUAUCUAUGGUGAUGACCAUCUACGAGAGGAGAGAUUGAAUCUACAUACCCUUGUAGAUUGCUAAGCGAAAGCAUUCAAGAAAGCGGUUGAUAUAGUGGUACGUCUUCGCGAUCCAAUCACGAACCGUCCCUCGAUCUCCCGAUCAAGUGUCGAACGGACGACACCUCCGCGUUGAACACAUGUGCAGCUUGGUGACGCCUUCACCUUCUCGAUCCAGCGAGCGAUGGUGAAGUGGCAGCCCGAGUCCUCUGGCAACACGACGGCGUGGUGAGGUGUUGGUGGUGAUAGCUCAACAGGGCUUCGUCGUGGGGGUGUUUGGAGAAUAGAAAUACGAGGGAGAGGAGGUGCAGCGCCGCACCAAGAUUGUCGUGUGGCUGCCCUCUCUCUACCUCUCUCUAUAUAGGGGGGAGGGAGAGGGGAGAGCACGGCCGGCGGCCAAGGGAGGGCCGGCGGCUAGGGAUGGGUGCCCCCCCCUCUUGGGUGCCUUGCCACCCAAGUUGGGUUGGCGGCGCCCCAAGGAGGAGCCCUCCUCCCCUUCGACCGAAGUGGGUUGGGGUGAGGGGCUGCGCCCAACCCCCUGGUGGGCUGCGGUGCCCCCUCUCCUUGGCCCAUGAGCCCCCCCAACAAUCGUUGGGGCCUCCCGAAACCCCUUUCGACACUCUAUUAUUCCCUCAGUACACCCCAGGAACACUUUCGGACUCCGAUGACCUUCAUCUUAUAUAUCAAUCUUCAUCUCCGGACUAUUCUGAAGUUCCUCGUCACGUCCGGGAUCUCAUCCGGGACUCCGAACAACCUUCGGUCACCAACACUAUGACUCAAUUAUGCUCAUAUCGUCAUCGAACCUUAAGUGUAUAGACCCUGCAGGUUCUAGAACUAUGCAGACAUGGUCGCGCUCUACCUGGCUGCGGAAAAACUGUCGACUCGAAAGUAGCUCGCAGGCGAGGCCUAAAACUGCUUUAAGUUUCGUGCAAACCGAAAUGUGGGUGCAGCCGAGGCAACCAAACAACGGGUUUUCAUCCCGCGAGGCCUGAUUGGCCCAAGUGCGAGCAACCAAACACCACCUGGGAGGCAACAUUCCUGGUUCUCUUUUUCGUCUUCAGCCACUCAUCAGUUAAAGAACUAAAAAAUGAUAUCCCCCAGUUGCGCUGAAAACUUCAGUUGCUACUCUUUCUAGUAGCUUUACCCCAACAUCAACUCCUUUUGCAUUUCGUGCAAUAUAGACUAAGAGUAACUUGGAGCACAUGCUUUGUGUAAAAUCAUAAAAGAGUCAAUUAGUCAAUUAACGAACCUUCCCAGACCUGUUGUCGACACCACCAUGGCUUCACACAAUGUCACCUCUCUACGGGCUUUCAUCACAUCCGUCACCGAGACUUCACAUUGUCGAUGUGUCACAUGAAACACCGGACCACUGCUGAAACCGUCCACUAGUCCCUCGAGCCAACGCACACCUACAAGGAUGACGUCCCCAAAGGGGGAACGAAACUUGAGCGCCGCGAUCAUCCGAUCAAUUGAUCAAGGGUUUCUCCCGGAGGUAGCAAAAGCAUGCGGGAGAUUCACCUUGAUGGUGCCUCCAAGACGGGAACGGUGGCAAGGUCUCACUAUCAUCAGUUUCGGCCAUCGAUCGAAGACAAGGUUUUCAUCCGGAGCUGAUUCUACAGGAAUUCAUACGAAGACAAGGUUGUACCUCGCCAAACCGCGAGAUCCUUGGACAGGGGCAUCUUCCUUUUUACUUAGUGCAAUAUCAGGAUAACAGAACAUAUAUCCUUAACAUUCAUUGUUAUCAUGUAUCAGCUCAAAGGGUUCUCCUAGUAUAAUCCCAGUCGAGUAAAAAGCACAAUGGUUUGCCAUAACCAACCAAUCCUCCCGUAUGAUAUUCAAGUAUGCGAUUUAAAUAUUUGUAAUGAUAUUGGUAGCGAAAUAUCCGAUGAUGAGUGACUACACAUUUUCCCAAAAGACAACCUUUCACUGGGUUGGUGGUUACCUUCAGUCGCACCCUCACUACAACGACAAUUGACGAAGAAACAACAUUGCGGAAAGUACAGUAUAAGCUUCUUCUAAUGCUUCAUCUUAUAUGUGUGCUAAAGCUGAUUGUAUUGGGGUAUCUCAGUUAGUAUCAUACACUCGUGACUAGCAAACACCGUGAUACACCGUGAUAUGACAAACAAAUAAAGAAGAGAGAGCGGGUUAUAGUAACAUAGGUAAUUUAUUUUUGCGGAGGAGUACUCCCUGAUAUGAGUAGUCAUGCAGACGAAAAAUAUGAUGUGACAAGGUAAUUAAGUGGAAAGAGAUGAGUGUGCUUAAUCUAGAAAGAAACAAUGUCAAACGCAUAAACUUAGGUAAAACACAUAAAUAAAAAAAGUUUACCAAUAUAUAAAGAACUUUAGUAGCUACAACAAGUUAGGAUCGGUUCUUUUGCUGGCUUUUAAAAUAAGCUGAAAUAAGAGCAUCUCCAACAACCUAUGUAUAUUGAAUUGCUAAAAACUUGUUAUAGCAAAAGAAGAGAGAAGGUUUACAAAGUCAAAAUAUUUUUUGCUUUGAUAGCCUUUGUAUACUGGAUUGUUAUAUUUGCACAAAACACAUAAUGGUACGUAGUGACAAUUUGUCAUAGACACAUUGCACACUAGCAUACGUACAUGUACAUGUAUACUAGCAUAACUCGUGUCUACGUACGCAUGCACACACGCGUACAGUUACACACAUGCAACACACACGUAUACAUGCAAUACACACAUACACACGUACACAUGCAACACACGCGUACACGUAUAGAAAACACGUACACGUACACACACAGUGCAUGCGCAACAUAUACACUAGUACGCAGAUCCAUCUGUCAUUAAGACAAAGUGAUGUUUGCUAAAAAACUACAAAGUGACCUUUGGCUUGGCAAUUAUGUAAAGUGUGGGUACAAAUAUAACAAGCUUAAAAAAAAUUGAUGAGGAACCACUUAUAUAAAGGUUGUUAUAGUUUUGGUCAAGAUUUAUAAAAUAGCAAGUGAGUGCAAGUAUAGAAAGGUUGUUGGAGAUGCUCUAAGCCGAAUCAAAUCAAGAUUAAUUAGUAAACUUUUAAAUUAAUAUUUUUUGUUGACCUUCUAGAAUAAGCUAUGUGAGGUAUAGCUUAUCGUAGAAGCUUAAAAAAAGCCAUAUCGUAGAAGCUUAAAAAAAGCCAUAAAAAGAACGGGCACUUAAGCACCUAUGUAAGUUAUAGUUGUUAAACUUUUUAAUGUGAUUGGCAUCUCAUCUUAAUACAGAUGCAUUGGAAGUGGCUUUAAAGAGAUCAACCCUGGCAAAAUCAAGCCUAUUUGAUCAGAGAAAUUGGGCACGGCAAAGACGAUGAACAAGCAAGCUCCAAUGGCAAUGGGGACAGCACACGUACGAGAAAGGUGGAAGAUAGGUGAGCCCAUUGAUUAGAUGGAAGAAAAAUAGACAAUGCAGGUCACAGAGUAGCACAGUACAGGUCCCAGUACCAAGAAAACACAGUCGAGUUACAUCAAAGUUCAGACCUUAGAAUCAUGGUCCCUCCCCACUCUCUCCAACACCCUCUUCUUCCUCGCAGCAAAACCGACUCAAUCGCAAGGCAACACACGCAAACACCAUUGCCACACAUCGCACACGGUUUUAUUUGGACACAGCAACAUUAUUCGCUAGCAGCAGCAGGAGGACUACGACGACGACGACGGACGGACGGACACGACGACUACGACGACUCGGGGGGGCUUGUCCCCGGACUGAUCCAUGGCGAUGUGUCGAUGGCAAUGCAGCAGAUCUCCUGGUACAGCAUCUCUGCACACGCAAGACGCAACAAUUUCAGUUUCACUGGUCAGAACUCAGUCGAAUUAGCGAGCAGUCGCGUGUACUUACACCAGGGGAGGAUCUUCCAGCGCUGGUUGUCGCCCUCGCACCACUUCCAGAGCACGACCUCGGUGCCGUCGUGGACGCCGCCGUGGGCCUUGUCGCCGUGGAAGGCGUCGAAGUUGAGGUAGAUGUUGUUCACCAUGCGCACGCAGCGGAAGCCCUUGCCCACGUCGCGGCUCUCCGUCCACAGCACCGACUCGUCCUGGUACGCCGGGUUGUACGGCACCAGCUUCACCUGCACAUGCACCAUCACACAGAUCCUGGUCAGAACUGCUGCCAGAUGCUAGCCCGAAACCAUGCACAAUCUUUGUGUGUGUGUUUGCGUUGCUUACGGGGUGGCCCUGGCCGGUGGAGUGCUUGAUGCAUUCGCCGGUGACCUUGUUCACAAUCGCGAACGCAGGGUACCCUUCCUCGUCCCUGAUCUUGUUGCUGUGCCUCAUGUCCUUGAUCCAGUGCUGCACAAAGAUCCAGUAAAAUCUCAGAGAGACUGCCACACGGCUGGUGAAAAAGAUGGCAGUUUAAUUUGGUGAGGUAGCAGCAGAAUCGACCUGGUAGUCGUCCCUGGGGUUGGUGGGGGCGAGGCAGACGGUGCCGUUGCGGGCGGUGAGGCUGUAGUCCUCGCCGGCCUUGCAGAAGACGCGCACGGCGUNUUGCACCACUCCCAGAGCACGACGGUGGUGCCGUCGUGCACGCCGCCGUGGUCCUUGUCGCCGUUGAGGGCGUCAAAGCCGAGGCGGGGGUUGNGUUGACCAUGCGGAUGCAGCGGAAGCCCUUGCCCACGUCCUUGCUCUCCGUCCACAGCACCGACGCGUCCUCGUACGCCGGGUUGAACGGCACCAGCUUCACCUGCGAUCCGUCCACGCGCAUGUCAAGAACUCAAGAUCGACGGAUCGAUGGAUCGAAAAGAAGGGCGUGAUGAUCGAUCGAAAAGAAGGACUUACGGGGUGGGACUGGCCGAUGGAGUGCUUGACGGCGAGGCCGGUGGCCUUGUUGACGAGCGCGAAGGCCGGCAUGCCCUCCUCGUCCUUGACGGUGGUGCUGAAGCGCAUGUCCUUGAGCCAGUGCUGGGUCUCGUCCUUGGGGUUGACGGGGGCGAGCACGACCUCGCCGUCGCGGACGGCGAGGCAGUAGUCCUCGGAGGCCCGGCAGUAGAUCUUGAAGAUCUGGUUGGGGCCGGACGCCGCCGGCGCCUGGUCCUUGUGGUGGUGCCCGAACCCGAACAUCUUGGCGGCGAGGAGAGCGUGUCUGAUCGGCUAGACUGGUUGGAGCUGUGCGAGUGAGGAGAGAGCGCUGCCCGAUGGCGCCAUUAUAUAGAGCCGAGAGCAGAGCAGAGCAGACCAGAGUCACCACUCACGCGCUGUAGAUAGUAAAAUCUUGAAAAUCUUUGGACCAUAUCUCCAGCGGCCUGGAAUAAAUGGCGGAAAGUAAUUGUAGGAUACGCUCGCUCGAUCGCUGCCAGUACAGUACAGUACAUCACAGCACUAGCCGUUUGGCCAAGAUUUUGGUUGCAUUAGCAAGAUUUUGGUCCGAUUAACAGCAGUGGCCGGUUGAUGCCAGUACCAAGUUUUGGUUCGAUUCAGCACUCAACAUUAGCUGUAUCCAUGCAAAUAUGCAAUGGCCAAAAAUGCCAGCAGCAUACCAUAUAAUUUUUUCUGUGUAUUACUAGUAGUUGAUCAUCCUUAGAGGCUAAGUAUCCUACUGUACUAAUUAAAGACUACAUAUUUGACUCUGCUCUUGGAUUUAUCUUGGUCCUGCAGCAGUAGCACUCCAGCAUCAGGCUUCGGCUCACACUUGGCAUUGCCUUGCAACAUACUAGCCGUUUGGUGUGAAUGUACUGGAAGGUUCUGGUUCGAUUCACCUACCCCCAGUGUUUUCCUCGGCAUUAACUUUGCAUUAGCUGUAUGCAUGCAAAUACGCAAUGCCAGCACGCCGGCGGUGUGAAUUGGAUUAUGGAGUACGGUUAGUGUUCUUGUAUUUUGUAGUCCAUCCAUUGACUCAUCCUAGCAGUGUUCUCUUCUAGCAAACUCAUCCUUAGAGGUUAAGCAUCUCUAUAAGUAAAGACUAGAUAUUUUACAGUUUUUUGAAUUAUUUUGUCCAUUUAUUUACUAACUAUUUGUAGUGUUUAAGGUGCUACCGUCUAAGGCUGCCUUGCCUUCUCGGUUGUCGUCGGCCCAAGUAGGCCGCCCUGAGGCCCUUUGGAUCGGUUCCGCAAUGGGCCAUCGGUUCGGUCCAUGGGCCUUUCCUCCACCGAUGUAGCCGACUAGGUUGUGUAACUCGUGGGGUCCGGAUGUUAUAUAAGUCGGGGUUGAGCUAGUCGAUAGGUCAUUAUAUAAUCAUGCCGUUUAUACCUUUAUACAUGCAAUCAUAGUAUGCACAUAGUAGGAAUAGAGUUCUACCUCUUUCAGAGGGGCCGAACCUAAGUAAAUCGCCUCAUGUUUUCCCUCUGCCCCAAUCGUCAUGUCCGGAUACCCUAUUGAGGGAUCUGUCGGAUUUAGCUCUCACAGUCUUUGUUCUUGAAAGAACAAAUGCCAUAUAUAAUAAGUUUUACAGAUGCUUACAAGAUUACCAUUACAAAAACCGGAAGAUACAUCAAAAUUCCUGGGGUGCCAAAAUACUACUUCUCCUGCAUCGACACACGUCGUGCUGUGAGGAAAACCCGUUAUCGUGUAUGCUACCAUUCCUUAAAACUCGGGAGUUUGUAGAAGCGAUGAUUUGGAAGCCGUUGAUGUAGACUAGUAGAUGACGAUGACCGCAAUGUAUGUAGCAGAUCACUUCUCCCUAGAAGAAAACACCGGAGAGGGCAUGUAUAUCACCCUAGGUCCGGCGAGAUGGAUUCUAGAAACACAAAACUCUUACACGCUCCACCACAAGAGUGAAGUUUGUGAAUCUUUCUCUGUGAGAACUAGAGCGAGAGAAUCAAGACACAGUCCUGCCAUCUAAGACAAACAUGCAGAAGAAAAGCCCCAACCUCCCUCCGAUAACAUCUCCACUUUCUUGGCUUGCUACAACACGUCACCAUCACUAUUGGCCCGGUUCCAUCACCGUCAACAUCGUGGACCUUCGCCAAGAUGAUGCCCCCUUCUUCACCUCCUUCCUUUACCGUCGUCGGCACUCCUUCUUCGAUUUUUGUCCAUCUAUGCUCACCCCUCGACAUUUCGAGCACACCUACGUGUUCUUGGUGAGAAACUAGACCCCUGCACCCCUCGAUAGGCUCCUGCAUCAUUUGAUUUGGCAUGGGCCCAAGGCACCUCCGCCACGGCAUGGUCGUCGGCUGGUCUCUAGUGACCCUUUGCUCCCGCCCGUUGUGUCGCUGCACACGCACCGUCGCGUGGGUCGUUUUUGCCGAACUUGUUGAUUCGCCCUUCCCUCUGAUACAACCCCAAAAUCUGGUUUCUAAUCCCUACAAGACAUUGCAAUCUUGCGUCGUCUAGAAGCACAUUUCCAGCAUAUGAUUGUGACACCACGAGAGGGUUAUAUACCAGUAACAAGGUGAAAAUCACGACAAAUACAACUACGAACAUAAGAGUAAUACGAUAUAUGUUAGGCAUACAUAUGUCGAUAGAUAAAUAUUCCACCAAACAUAGGCAACAUGACCCAACAUUGCAUGAAUCAUACAAGCAAGAAGGCACGAGUCCGAGUACAUACAAGAAGGAAAUAUGCCUAAGGGGCCAAAGAAAUAAGCAACAUCCACCUUGCUAAUCCGAGGCUAGUGAUGUCUACUACGCAACAUUCUCCUUGUAGACGUUGUUGGGCCUCCAAGUGCAGAGGUUUGUAGGACAGUAGCAAUUUUCUCUCAAGUGGGUGACCUAAGGUUUAUCAAUCCGCGGGAGGCGUAGGAUGAAGAUGAUCUCUCUCAAGCACCCUGCAACCAAAUAACAAAGAGUCUCUUGUGUCCCAAACACACCCAAUACAAUGGUCAGUUGUAUAGGUGCACUAGUUCGGCGAAGAGAUGGUGAAAUAAGUGCAAUAUGGAUGGUAGAUAUAGGUUUUUGUAAUCUGAAAUUACAAAAACAACAAGGAAACAAAUGGUAAAAGUGAGCACGAACGGUAUUGCAAUGCGUGGAAACAAGGCCUAGGGUUCAUACUUUCACUAGUGAAGUUCUCUCAAAAAAGAUAACAUAAUUGGAUCAUAUAACUAGCCCUCAACAUGCAACAAAGAGUCACUCCAAAGUCACUAAUAGCGGAGAACAAACGAAGAAAUUAUUGUCGGAUACGAAACCACCAUAAAGUUAUUCUUUCUGAUCGAUCUAUUUAAGAGUUCGUACUAGAAUAACACCUUAAGAUACAUAUCAACCAAGACCCUAAUGUCACGUAGAUACUCCAUUGUCACCUCAAGUAUCCGUGGGCAUGAUUAUACGAUAUGCAUCACAGAAUCUCAGAAUCAUCUAUUCAACCAACACAUAGGACUUCAAAGAGUGCCCCGAAGUUUCUACCGGAGAGUCAAAACGUGUGCCAACCCCUAUGCAUAGGUUCUCAAUGUCACGAACCCGCAAGUUGAUCACCAAAACAUACAUCGAGUACUCACAUGAAUCCACGUGUGCCAACCCAUACAUAGGUUCCCAAUUGUCACAAACCCGCAAGUUGAUCACAGCAGAUAGACACGUGCAAGAUAUACAUCAAGUGUUCUCAAAGACUCAAUCCGAUAAGAUAACUUCAAAGGGGAAACUCAAUUCAUUACAAGAAGGGAGAGGGGGAAGAACAUCAUAAGAUCCAACUAUAGUAGCAAAGCCCACGGUACAUCGAGAUCAAGACAUCUCAAGAACACGAGAGAGAGAGAUCAAACACAUAGCUACUGGUACAUACCCUCAGCCCCGAGGGAGAACUACUCCCUCCUCGUCAUGGAGAUCGUCGGGAUGAUGAAGAUGGCCACCGGAGAUAGAUUCCCCCUCCGGCAGGGUGCCGGAACGGUCUCCAGAUUGGUUUUUGGUGGCUACACAGGCUUGCGGCGGCGGAACUUCCGAUCUAGGUUUCUUUCUGGAGGUUUCCGUAUUUAUAAGACUAGAUGGCGUCGAGAACAAGUCAGGGGGACCCACGAGGGAGUCACACGCCCUUGGGGCGCGGCCAGGGGGGUGGGGGCGCCCCCAGGCUUGUGGCUUCCUCGGGACUCUUCUCCGGUAUAUUUUUCUUCUGGUAUUUUUGAUAUUUUCCAGAAAAAAUCUUUUCGGGGAUUUUCUUCCUUUUGGACUCCGUUUCAAAAUCUCCUCUGAAAGGGGUCAAAAAUAUGGAAAAAGCAGGAACUGGCACUUGGCACUGAGUUAAUAAGUUAGUCCCUAAAAAUAUAUAAAAGGCAUGCAAAACAUCCAAAGUUUGACAAGAUAAUAGCAUGGAACCAUCAAAAAUUAUAGAUACGUUGAAGACGUAUCAACUAGCAAGUUGGAUGAUAUGCUAAUGAUCGUCAUCGAAGAGCAACGCCAAAUAUAGUGUAUCAUGCUCUCACCUUGGAGCAAUGCUUUACUUGUAAUUGCACUUGUGCGUGUUGUAGUAUCUGUGGGCCUUUAGGACUUCACAAGUCUCGUUACCAAGGGUAUCACACGAAAACUACUUAAUGGGUUGGGAUGGUUAAGUUGUGAUGUUGCAACAAGCACUAGUCCGAUGAGUACUAGAACAAGAUAAGAUAAGAUAAAUCCUACCCAUAAGGGGGUGGCAAUUAGAUAAUCAAUAAGUUACCCUAAACACUAUGUACAAAUUUUGCUUGCAUUCCCACAAGAAGUGAUUGUCGUGGUACACACACGGUUUGUAAGUUUUAGUUAUUAGUUGAAGUUCUCUACAACUGGAUAUUGUAAUUUUUGAAGUCAUGUGUAACCGUGGGCAUGGCUUUUCAAAAGAUUUAACCCUGUAUGGGUCCUACUAAUUCCUCCAUGGUAGAUUUCCGCGCGCAUACCCGUUCCUCCAAGUCCAUGGCCCAUGGGAACCCUCGUGCAAAGCAUGAUGUGUUUCAGGAAUUUUGGAGCAACAAAUCCUCGAUCUAAUGUAGAACUAGCAGCUAGAGAGGCCUCCCGAUGAGUCUUAUUGGGCUAUGAGCCGCACACACUGUAUCCUCAGACCCAUUCGUCUAUGCCAAGUGGAUAGUGAACCAAAACCUCGAGUUUUUCCAUGGUGGAACCUCACUUCUAGGUAGGGGCCAACGCUUUUUCGAGCACCCGCCUAAGUUAUUUCAAAAGUACCUUGAGGGGUGACCCUCUAUGCGACUUUUAUGUUGGAUAAUGUUAACAAAAAUGUUGCACCUCUCUGGAAAAGUUUAGUGCUAGAUAAAGAGGUCAAGGGGAGCCUCAUAAUCCCCACACAUAUUAUGAGCGCUCGUAGAAAACAUAAAACUAGGGUUACGAAACUAAGAGAACAACAGUGAAACAAAUCACCGGGGCAUAGGUAUGAGAUUUCCAUCCUUUACCAAGUGUAUAGUCAAGAUUAGUUAAAUAAGCAAGAUAUGAUAUCUCAGGAUGUCCAUAUCUCAACAUGGAACAACCUGCACCUACAAGUAGCAAAUCUAUAAAAGGAGCCGAGCAAGCGGUAGCAUGGCAAUCUAUGGUUUGCUAGGAUAGUGAAGGUUAUGGGCUAUAUCAUGGCAAAUGUUAGGCUUGCAAACAAGUGGUAGGUAGCGAGACCGGACAAUAGCAUCGUGACAUCUAGCAAGCAAAGUUAGUAAUCAUAUCCAAGAUAAUGAUCAUUCUUGUGUGAGAUUCCACUUUGAAGAUCGAAACCACAAAGUGUAGUCGAACAAAAUCCUUGUACUUCGUAUCGUUAUCGGGAGCUAACGAGAAGAAGAAGAACCGGAAAGAAGCAAACGGUAUGAUAAACAAACAUAUCAUGGCAUAAUGACAAUCAGCAUGAAUCAUGACAAGUUUAAUGAUUUUACAUGGCAACCUAUAACUAGAAAAGUUAAAGAAAGCCUUGAUCCAUGUGUGGUAUGAAUCAAAUGAAACUCCAUAUGCAUUUUCUUUUCUUUUUUGAGCAAGUUAAACUCCGAGAUCAUGUCCCUUUUGCAUUUUAGUCACUAUUAUUUGGUUAACUCGCAAGUUCUUGAUACUUGCGUAAAAUUUGACAAAUGAUAUAUAUAUGUUUUUCGACUAGAGUUUCGCAAGCUGGUCGUACCAUCAUUCACACGCCUCACAACGAUGUCAAGAAACACCAUUGCAACGUGGAGGGAGUGGGGAUGAUUUUAUGCCGACAGCGACACCAUCGCCUCACCUUGACGAGUGGAGACCAAAAUAAAAAUUUGAAAGCCCACCAUAGCAUCGCGUGUCUCACAAAGUGAGAGCAGACUCAUGAUCGCAAGGGAGGAGGCAGAUUGGCGCUAUUGUCCUGGCUCAUAGAAUUUCACCCGAAGUGGAGGGGGAGGAAAACGCUUCAUAGCGCGAGGUGGGAUUGAUGAGUAGCCAUAUACUCGCUCCAUUUCAUUAUAUAAGGCCACACACUCAGAUUACAGGUACCAAGGUAAAAUUCAAUGACUGCAUCGUGAGCCUACUUUUUGUUUUGUUAACCGAGAUCAUUAAUACAACACAUGGAUACAAAGAAAAAAAUGAGAAGAAAGUAGUUAAGUAUUUUUUUUUAACGAAGACAAAAGAUUACCUCAUCUAUUAGUUAAGCGGAAGAGAAUUGCCCUACAUGUAUGCGAACUUUAAACAAGUUGCUAAUAUGAGGAAAUAUUGUUAAUUUUUUCCUCGGUUACUCUUGAUGGUUUUAUGUAGAUGUAAAAUGGUUUCUUUUAUAAUGACCUUGUAUAAAGAAACAGAGGAAACAAUAUUUUUGAAACGAAAAUAUGCACGCCGUAUUUCAGAAUCGAGAAAGAAAACUGCAAAAGCAAAGCAUCUUCUAGCGACGAACGGCCUUGCUCGGAAGCGUGCACCCGACGCUGCGUGAUUCCCCCCCACAAAACAAGGUGGGAUUCCCAGUUCGGAUGCCCCCAUGCCUGCGGUCGCUCGCUCUUGUAGUCUUCCUCAGCUCCGGUACACGGCGCUUUGCUUUGCUUUGAUCAUGGCGGGAUGCUUCUUUUCCGUUCGGUGAUGUGUCGACUCGCGAAUCUCGAUCGAUCGACGUGCCCCCCACUUGCGUGGACCAAGCUAUCAUGGAGAUGGCAAGCGGAACCCGAAAGAAGUUCACAUGCCCAAGGCGACGGUCGAGCCAGGCCAUUCAUUUUUCUGACAGAAACCACCGCACGGGACAUGUUGUUAGCAAGCUCAAACUUCACGUAGAAUUCUCUGGCAGAAACAAUGGCGUUUGCACUGAUCAUGCAUAUAUCCCCGCGUACAAGGCUGCACCUGUUGUAUUUUUACUCCAACCGUGUGAUGUGAACCCAUAUUUGUUUUGCUAAAAAACAGUUGAUCGAGACUUCAGGAAGCCUCAAUCCAUACUAUAAUCCGUUGAUUUUACAUUAAGAUUCGUGUAGAUAAAUUUUUUUUCUUGCAUACUAUACUACUUUGAGACUUCACGAAGUUUCAUUUGACUGAGACCUAGACACACCUAUUUACAUUGAGAUUUAUUAACUGCUCAACUCCCUGGGGUUCUCGAAACAUGGAGGACGUGCAACGCAAAAGUGUCCACAUAGAUCAACGUUCGGCUGGCGCAGGUGAGGUAGGUGAACCUGCCGGUGCACUAUCAAGUUUACGAGGCAAGCUCUUGUCUUGGUGCGAGUAAAACGGGAGGCGAACUGGACGGACGGCCACUGCUCGCCUCGCUUGCGUGGCCAUGUGUGCGCUGCCCUGCUAUUGUUGGGAAACAGUACAGUACAGCUUGAUUUUGGGGUCAGGGAAGCGUACAACUCAUGUGAGGUUUAGCCUGUCGUGUCGAUCUUGUUUGUUUCGAGGGCUUUGGCUAUUUGCUAGUAGGAAGUAGUACGGGACUUGGUGAAGUGAACCAACCACUUCUUUGACCGAUUUUAAAGUGCUGCGUACUCUUGUAAUCUGUUGGCGGGGCUUGGCUGGUGUGAUGGAGCUCGCCUGCCAAUAUGUGCACAUCCACCCGUGGAAGGAUCAGUUGAGAACGUGUCCGUGUGUCCGCGUCACGACAGCGACAAGGCAUCGACGCCGUGGGCCGGCCAAGAUCAGUUUCUUGACGCCGACAGUAAAUAAAAAGUAAAUAAAACACGGUUUACGAUAACACGUACACUCUCUCUCGUGACCGGUGGAAGUAAGAGGAUAACUUCUUUCAAUGAACUGUUUCCAUGAACUGGUCAAACGGGACCGGCCCGGAAGCACGCCAGCUCGGCACGGUAUGGGUUAAUCAGACCGUCUCAGGCACGCAGCCCGUCUCGGGCCUGAGGGCUGGGUACGCGGGCCGGCACGGCAUGACCCGUUUAUCAUAUUUACUAUUUAUUCCCCCCCCCCAUAUAUAUACAUAAUAAAUAAAAUAACCUAAUAAAUCAAAAUCGGUUCAAAACACAGUUCAAUAUGUUGGUCCAAAAAACAGCCAAACAUGUCAAAAUCAGCCCAAAUAACAGCCUAAAAUAAAAAAGAAAACUAAUAGGCUAGCGGGUCUGGCGUGCCACGGACCGGUCCGUAUAGCCUCCUUGUCGUGCCUGGACCGGGAGGCUGCGCACGUGGGCGGCACAACACGGCCCAGCUAAUAUUCGUGCCCGGGCGGGCCAUGUCGUGCCAAACCCGUUUAUGGGGCCGUGCCGGGCCGGCCCGUUUGACCAGGACUGAAUUGGUCCUUUGGGCAACACACACAUGCGCGCGCGCGCGCACACACACACAAUGGUUCUUUUUUUUAAGAAAACUUGCCACUUUAUUUAUCGCAUUUAAAAUGUCAGGUACAUGAACGAAAUUGGGUGUGGCAAUAAAAAAAUGGUUCUUUGUUUUAUGCAUGGUGUUUGACACUAGUUGGGCAGGUUCCUAAGAUUGUCGAUGUCCAAAUUUAUAACUGCCCAGUUUGAUCCAGCAAAAUCUAUGACUUAUAAUUCUGAAAAAUAGACAAAAUUUACCCUAAGAAAAUACUCUUCGUUCCUAAAUAUAAGACCUUUUAAAAAUUUCGCUUUCAACUACAUUCGAUGUAAAAUGAGUGAAUCUAUACUCUAAAAUAUGUCUACAUACAUCCGUAUUUAGUUCAUAGUGAAAUAUCAAAAAUGUCUUAUAUUUUAAAACGAAGGGAGUAAUUGUUACAGAGUUUUUGUUGAAAACCCCUCACAUAUGUUAAUCAAUUAAAAUAUUCAUACAAUCAUCCAUUACAUCUUUCUCCACACAAGGCGGAUCAUACCUAUUCACAAAACUAAACUUGGCAAUCAAGUGUGCCAUCCUAUUGCCCUUUCUUUUAAUCUUGGACAUCUUGAACUCUGUCAACAUUUUAGAGACACCCAACGCUUCUUUCUUUAGAACAACAAAGGGAGACAUGUCACACAAAUAUCUUUUGGAGGCCUAGCUUCAUGGAGGCCUUCAAAUGCGAAAUUUAAAUUUCACGAAAAUUCAUAUUUUACAUGUUAUUUUUUAUAAAAAAAAUACAUAAAUAGAUGAAAGUAUAAUGCAUAAGUGUGUACAUUUUUAGGACUAAAUACGUUGAAAUGAGGGCUGUGCAAAAAAGACAAUUCUGAGACUUUUAAACAAAUGAUACUAUUCAUCAUUUUAGACCAUGGAAUUGUCUUUCUUUGUAUAGGUUGUGUUUCAAAGUAUUUCAACCUAGAAUUUUACACACAUGCGGCUCACAUCCUCGUUUAGUUAUACAAUUAUUUUUACAUUUUUUUGAAAUCAAUUUUUUCUAAUUUUGAAUUUUUGAAAAAUUCGGCCUCCAUGGAGGCCAAGAGCCAAAACGCCAUUCUCGACAUGUCAAGAUUAUCAUUUCCAAGCAAUAGAACCACAAAAGAACAACCAGUUUUCAAAAUGGUAGUUGUGCAGAGUGAUACCGAUAUAAAGAACAACGAGGAUCACUCUAAGUUUCACUUCAUCCGCACUAUUGCAAGCCUCAAUAUAAUCCGAGGAGAAAAUGAUAACUUCUGCAGUUUUGUUUCGGGAAACUCCCCCCCCCCCUUGUCGUGCUAAUGACCUUCAGAAAACUUGCAUCGACACUAAUCAGGAACUCCGAAGCGUGAGGCUGCCAAGAAAGAAAAAAUUCCUCUCCACAUUACUGGUGGAUUUCACUGCAUCUUUACAUUUGUUGCUGACCUUCACCUGCUUAUUGGUAUGAAACGACGAAAAAGACGCCCAAUAAUUUUGCAUAAAGCUCACAGAGGUAGAGACAACUUCCUUUCCCUUACCAUAGGUCAAAUCAUUUCUCAAAUGCCAUGAUCUUCAAAAGAUGAAUAUAAUUGACUCACACAAAUGCAACCCUAAUUGAUCCAUCAAAAUAAAUAACAAAUAUGAACCAUAAAAUUCAAAGAUCUCUUCACUCGGUAAAUUCCAAACCUCCUUCAAACUCCAUAAAAGUGCACAAGCCUUGGGACAUCUUAGCGAGCAUGAAAAACACAUUCAUCUUCAACACACCUGGAAAUUGAGCACAAGCCAUGAAUAGCUUGAUGAUGUUUUACUCUGUUAACUUGAUCCGCCAAACUAUUAGAAGUAGCAUACCAUGCAAAUAUUUUGAUUUUCCUAGAAACAUAAGCCUUACAAAUAAUAUUCGAGAGCCUUCUUUCCCAUUCAAAACAACAAUGGAGCUCCCUAACUACUUUAUUGUCCUUGAGAUUUAGUGCCAACCUAUACGUACUCUUUAUCAAGAAUAACCCUUUUUUCGUAGUGCCAAGCAAUAAAAUCUUCAUCUCCCAAAGUCAGAAUGAGCAACUUUAAAAUUUCCUCGACAUCAUGGGGGGUAAACAUAUGUAUGAUCGGAUUCUCACCACAUCUUCUUGAACCACUCAUGAAUAACUCAGACAUCCAUUUGAGCCUCUUCUUAGCAAACAAAAUUAGCCGGAGUCUCUAGGAAGCAAAUUAUCCCUCCAUAUGUGUAUACUAGCACCAUUGGAAACUCUCCAUAUAACACCCUUUUUCAACAGCUCGGGACCAUGCAUAAUAACUUGCGAAAUAACCGACACCUCUUGAGGGACGACAAUAUCAAUAAGAUAUCCAUGGGGUUAAUAUUUUUCUUUAAUCACCUUUGAACAUAAUCCAAAAAAAACCAAUAAUCAUCAAGCUUGUUUCACCAGAAGCACAUGAUUACAUAGUCUAAUAUCUCGAAACCCUAUAGCUCCCGCACCUUUGGGUCUUGCCAUCUUGUCGUACGCAAGCCAAUAAGUUUUUCUCCUAUUCUCCUCAUCACCCAUCAAUUUUUUUGAUGAUCUAGGAUAAUUAUUCACAAAUCCAUGCAUAACAUUUAAAGAUGCCCAUGGCAUAGGCCGGUAGCGCCUGAAUGACCGACUUAAUCUGGAUUUCCUUCAUCCCACUAGAAGCAUAUUAUUCAAUCUAGUCCAAAAACUACUUUAGCGCUUUAUCUUUGGUAGACUAAAAUUGCCGCCUUCAUUCUACUUGCUCGCACAGGUAAACCAAGAUAUCCUCUCAAAUCCAUCAACCAUGAUUUGAAUUACAACCAAAAUGGGCACUGAUCUUUUAGACAACACAUUUUGCCAAAUAAAAUGGAGCAUUUAUCUCGGUCCAAUAGUUGACCUUUCCCCUCCUCAUAAACCUAAAAAUUCUUCUAAUGGUCAGGGCUUGCUACAAAGAACCCUUGAAAAUAGGAGACUAUCAUAAAAAAACUGUGAGAAUGUCUGUGCAGCCGAAACUCCUAGAUAAUCCCUCUCACAUACGCAUCAUUAAGUAACAAUGGAAGGGCUUCAACCACAAAAGGAACAAGUAUGGAGAUAAAAUGAUUACUUUGCGAGUGACGAUGCAAAAGUUGAAAGAUUCUAACAGAUAGCCAUUAAAACACGCUAAAAAUUUCACUAAAACAACAUAAAUCAUAAUUCACUUAACCCAAACUAGAGCAAAACCAUAUGCUCUCACCAUACUUUCCAAGAAAUUCUAGUCCACACGGUCAUAUGCUUAGAGAGUUUCAACUUGCAUGCAGACUAUUUGUGUCGAAAAUCUUUCAAAAACCUCUAUGAUUGCAUACAUCCAAAGCAAUAAUAGCACUAUCUGAAAUUAAUCUUUCAAGAAUGAUAACACUUUGGGUAGGAAAAAUCAUACCAUCCAACAAAGGGCUCAGUCUAUUAACAAGACACUUGAAUAUAAUUAUAUAUAUGACAUCACAUAAAGUGAUUGGUAAAAAAUCUUUUUCGACCCAGGGUUCUCCACUUUAGGAAUAAGCACAAUAGUUGUAUUAUUUAUCCCUUCCAGCGUGCUUCCAGAAAUAAAGAACAAUUGAACAACAUGAAAAAUAUCUCCCUUGAGUAAACCCUAAUUCCUUUGAAAAAAAACAGCUAGAAAUCCAUCUGGCCUUGAAGCCUUCAACGAACCUAUUUGGAAGAGAGCAUCACUAAUCCCUUGUUGAGAAAAUGAUUUGCAAAGGUCCUCAUUCAUGGUAUGUGACUCUAUGGUAAACACAUCUCAUAUUAUUCCACGUGUGUAACCUUUGGUAAAUGAUUACAGAGAUUUUUGUGUAUGGGAUGGCGAGGUCGCGGUGAGGCGCUGAGCUGCUGCGGGGUUUGGCGGCGACAACAGGCGUGCAGGCGGCGACAGUGUCGUCAUAGGGCGACGCAGUGUGGGCUAGAGCUCGUCUGUGGUGUGGCGGUUGCGCGAGGGGGGGGGGCUCGUCCUCACGCGGAUGCGUGCAUGCUGGUUCCCGGCCAGAUCAGGCUCUAGGUAGCUCGCGGGAGGUGCGGGGUUGGCAGCGACUCAUUCGAUGGUGUCGCGACAUGAGCGGAUGGCGGCGACGUCUCUGUCUAUGUGGCAUUUGCGGGUGUUGGGCCUUGGGUGGAUGCGAGCACAGUUGGGUGGCCGGUCCUAACGACCUGACACGCGACACGGGAGACGGGUGGCGCACUGAUGGUUGCGUUGGUGGCCAGCCAGGUGUGGUACAUGGGAGGCAGGCCAGGACAUCGCCCCUGCGCCGAAUCUGGCAUGGUUUCGGGUGUAUGUGGGGGGACUUGAAGUGCCUUCGACUGGAGGUUGCUCGGUGUGGCUGUUGUGAUGGUCGGAGAGCGUGAUGGUGGUUCCUGGGAACGCGCAAGGAUGGUUGGUUGCACGUUGCUCUAGCCGUUUAUUCCCCUGGCUGCGGGUGUGUGGAAGUGGGUCACACGACUUCUUGGCGGAGCUAGACUGGGGCUGGAGGUGGUGGCUAGCUGGAGGUGGAUUGCGUGAGUGGCCUUUGGAGGCGGCCCCGACGACAAGAGUUGUCGGCUACCUACGACAUCCCUGUCUCGAUGUGAACGAUCAGAUCUGAUGGGGCAGUCUUCGCCCUCCUCGAUGGUGUUCUCCCAAAGUUGGUUGAGAGCGCCAUUGUCCCUUGGCCAUAUCUCACGAUGUCGAGUGGGGACCCAAGGUUGUUGGGGUGGCGUCUGAAAGUGCAUCAUUGCCCUGAAUUAUUUUUGACAUCUAUGACAAUUUCAUUUGUAUUUCUAAACACAUGCUCUAGUGUAAACAUCUCCGACAAAAGUAAAGAGAAGCAUGGAUAUGGUUAUUUCCCCUCUACUCGGAAAAAGGAAAAGUCAGAGUUCCAUGAAAGUUUUUCUUUCUUUCUUGAGUCCUUAGGGCAACUGCACUAUUAAGAGGGGAUGCAUCGUGAAAAUUAUCUAGGAAUCAACUCUUCAUAAAAACAAGUUCUCGAAAACCAAUUCUAAGAUCUGUCAAAAUUGACACUGCAAAGCCUCUGUCUUAGGUCAGAACUUCCGGGGCGGACGGAACUUCCCGGGACCAUAAGGCCCGAGGAGCUUCCGGGCCAACCAGAGAAACUGCCAGCCUCUGUGCAAUGUUUCUGUUUAGGCUGGAACCUUGCCAGACCCUGGCCGAAACUUCGAGGGAGGCCGGAACUUCUGUCCCGAUCCUGUCUGCUUUCGAGGGACUCCAACCGGGUGCAAUCAUUCUAUUCAAACCGGUACCUUCGCGGAGCCUGGUCGUAACUUCCGGGGUGCGGAACCUCCGGUCCCCCCGGAACUUCCGGGGUUGGCAGAAAUGUGGCCCCCAACGGCUGGAUUUCUUCCCCACCUAUAAAUAGCCUUCUCCUUCCCGAGGCACCGUAAAAACUCCAUUUUUCUCACUCCACCAUUUUCAAACCUCUAUUUCUUAGAGUUCCCCCUCCUUAGCCAACCAAAGCUCUUGAUGUUUUGAGGAGUGAAGGAGGAGUUCCUGAUCUACACAUUCACCAAAGAAAAAGUUGAUCCCCCUUGUUUUCAGGAUGCAUCUUGUAACUCUUGGAGGUUGGAGACUCUUAGGCGGUAGGAGUACUCCGACGAGGAAUCGUUCAUUGUGAUUACCCCCAAAAAGUUUGUGAGGGUUUGGAGACCACCCCAAGGUCUACCACUAGUGGUUGAGAAUCGCCUUCGUGGUGUUGUAUCAAAGAGAUAAUAGGGUGGGCCUUCCUAGCGUUGGUGUGCCUUUGUGGUAACAUCCACAUUUCUAAACGGUGACAUAGCUUCCCUCCAAUAAAUUGAACAUCGGUAUACAUCCUCGUCUCUAGGAGUUGUGGUUAUCUCUAACCCUAAUCCUCUACUUGUGGUUAUUUUUCUUUGUGAUAUUUCUUAUAUUACUUGUAUUACAUGUGCUUAACUCUUUAAUUAAUUGUUGUAUUGCUUAGUACGCGUAGCACGACUACCAUCUUUGCAAUUGUUAGGCUCACCUUCAUAUUCUGCAUUACUGCCUAAAAUUGCUAAGAAACAAUUAAAAAUUGUAAUCGUACCUAUUCACCCCCUCUAGGACCAUCUCGAUCCUUUCAAUUGGUAUCAGAGCCUCGUGCUCUAAUUUAGUGGCUUAACCGUCCUAGAUCGAGAUGGAUAAGGUUGGGAACCCGUUGCGUGCUCCUCCUCUUGAAGGAGAAGCUUCAUCCAUAUAUGAAGGGAGAUAUUUCACUUCUUAAGAUCUCGAACGGAUCCUCGCUAAGAAGAACGAGGAGCAUGAUGCUUCUAUUGAGGCUUUGGUAAAAGUGAGGUUGGAAGCAUUUGGUGCGAAAAUUACAUCACCGGAGAACCCAAUUCGUGUGUUAAAAUAAUCAAUUGCAUCCAUUCCUAAUUCGGGGCAACAACCUCCACCUCACAACAAUAUCGGUGUUCCUUGGCUAUAUGCUGAACCUAGAGUGGAGAAACCUAAGUAUAAUAUUUUGGGAAAUCCUCCUUUACUUGAUGACACUGCCGAUUUUUCUUUGUGGAGAGUUGGUAUGCAGGAUCAUCUUAGGUUUGCCAACGAUGAAAUGCCGGAGAUCUUGGAGAAAGGUUACAACCCUCUGAACCCCAAGGAUCUCACACCGAGUGAAGUAUAUGACAGACACCUCAAUGGCACCACGAUCAUGCUCAUAAGAAAAGGCAUGCGUGACAAGCAGAAAAGGCCUUACAUUCACGUAUCAAAUGCAAAAGAACUUUGGGAUAGCAUUAUGAUGACAAAGACGGGAACAUCCUCUCUUCGUCUUGCACAAUAUGAGAUAGCAAAAGGAGCAUUGCAAUACUUCUGCAUGUAGAAAGGAGAGACCCCAAGCAUCUUCUUGAAAGAUCGAUGACACUUGCUGUCGACAUAGAAUCAUAUGACUGUGACAAGAGUCGAGAUGGAUUCAAUCUGACGAAACGGUUUCUUGUGGAUAAAAUUCUAAAUGCUCUUGCCCCGUACCACCAUCAAAUGGUAUGGGACAUAAGGAGAGAACAUGGUUUUAAGGACAUAUCUCUUGAUGAUGUCAUCUCUGCCUUCCAACUAUUCCAAGAAUCAAAGGCCAAUGCUACAAGGCAUCUUGCCAUGCAUGGCUCCUCAUCACCCAAGACAAAUCUUGCGUUGAAGGCCAAACACGUGAAGGAUGACGAUGAUGUCAGUGAAGAAGAAGAGGAACAUGAAGAGGAAGGCUAUGAAGAUGAAUCAAAUGACGAGCUCUCAUAUGAAGACAUGGAUCUUUGUCAAGAAGUUUAGUGCUGGAAAAUUCAAGGGAAUAUUCCAAAAGAAGAAAGUAAGGACUUGUUACAAUUGUGAAUAAACCAACCACUUCUCAAACAAGUGUCCUUAUGAUAAGAGAGAAGACAAACCAAGAUUUCUGAAGACCUUUGUGAAGAAGAAGUUGCCUAACCCAUUAAAAUCCAAGUUCAGAAAAAGAGAUGGGAAGGCAAUGGUUUCUCAAGAUGAAUCCGGCCCCGAUGAUGUUGGGGGUGUUGUAGCAUAGCACAAGACACUCAAACCACAUUAAUACUGUUCAACAAAAGUUGUGAUGUUGUCACAUACAACUACAUGAAAGACUACAAAGGUAAUGCACACAAAUGCCUCAUGGCUCAAGAUGUGAUGGAAGAUGAUGAGGGACAGACAUCUUGAGACAAGGUGAAGGUAACUCCACGACCUAACCCUUCUCUAUUUUCCUCCAACACAUCUAGUGAUGAAUAUGUUGAUGCUCAGGAUCGUGAUCAUGAGACUGAAAUUAGUGAUGCUAUGUUUGCUAAAAUGAAGAAAGUCAUGUGCUCCCUCAAAGGAAAGAAGAUCAUUACGUUUCGUAUGCUUAUGGAGAUGGUGAGUAAGGACGCCACUUCCAUUAAGAACACAAAAACCUCGUUACCGAGGAAAAGGACAAAUGCGAAAUCCUUGAGCAGAAAGUCCUAUAUGAGGAAGCACAUAAUGACAAAUUGUGCUUAAAAAUAGGUGCAAACAUUGAUAAGAACACUGAAGAACUUGCCUCUUUAACAAAGACUGGAAAUGAUUAUGAAGUGUUAAAAAGAGACAAACGUAAGUUUGACGAGUCUCACUCCGCUCUUUCUAAAGAUUGUGAGCUCUUACAUUUGUCUCUCAAGACAAAGGAGGUAGAUCUCAACACUCUUACAAAGAAGUUUGACAAACUCAAGCUUACAUAUCUUAACAUUCUAGGCAAAGUUUACUCCUCUCCUGUUGUAAAUGUUGAUGCUUGUGCUACUAAUCCCAGUGGUGACCUAGCUAGUGUUCUUGAGGAGAACCGGUUGCUAAAAGCUCAAGUUGAAAAAGGGCUCAUGUCAUGUGCCCAAGGACAAAAGAACCUCAAUGAAGUGUUGAGUCAACACAAGGAGGUUGUGGCGAAAGAAGGGCUUGCAUUUUAUCCAAGCCGGAACAGGAAUGCAAUAACGAUACAUAAGUCCACUGCUCCUCUCGAGGAGAUAUUUGUUCGGAAAGGGCACAAGGAAGACAGAUUGGGAGACGUUGAGAAGGUUGCGAGUAGGAAGGCCACUAGGGGCCAGCCUGCUCCCAACAAGCCAAAAGAAUGCAUGCCUCCAUCAUAUGUGCUCCGUAAGGCAAAAGAUGGAGCUGUGUAUGCUAAAUUUUUUGCCCUCGAAAUGCUUUUCGAUUCUAUGCAAUUUGGGUGCCUAAGACCCUUGUUACUAACAUGAGGGGUCUGAUGUCUACUACACUACCUUCUCCUUGUAGACGUUGUUGGGCCUCCAAGUGCAGAGGCUUGUAGGACAGUAGCAAUUUUCCCUCAAGUGGGUGACCUAAGGUUUAUCAAUCCGCGGGAGGCGUAGGAUGAAGAUAGUCUCUCUCAAGCAACCCUGCAACCAAAUAACAAAGAGUCUCUUGUGUCCCCAACACACCUAAUACAAUGGUAAGUUGCAUAGGUGCACUAGUUCGGCGAAGAGAUGGUGAUACAAGUGCAAUAUGGAUGGUAGAUAUAGGUUUUUGUAAUCUGAAAUUACAAAAACAGGAAGGUAACUAGUAAAAAAAGUGAGCACGAACGGUAUUGCAAUGCGUGGAAACAAGGCCUAGGGUCCAUACUUUCACUAGUGAAGUUUUCUCAACAAUAAUAACAUAAUUGGAUCAUAUAAAUAGCCCUCAACAUGCAACAAAGAGUCACUCCAAAGUCACUAAUAGCGGAGAACAAACGAAGAGAUUAUUGUCUGGUACGAAACCACCACAAAGUUAUUCUUUCUGAUCGAUCUAUUCAAGAGUCCGUAGUAAAAUAACACGAAGCUAUUCUUUCCGUUCGAUCCAUCAUAGAGUUCGUACUAGAAUAACACCUUAAGAUACAUAUCAACCAAGACCCUAAUGUCACCUAGAUACUCCAUUAUCACCUGAAGUAUCUGUGGGCAUGAUUAUACAUAUGCAUCACAUCAUCUCAGAAUCAUCUAUUCAACCAACACAUAGAACUUCAAAGAGUGCCCCAAAGUUUCUACCGGGGAGUCAAAACGUGUGCCAACCCCUAUGCAUAGGUUCCCAAUGUCACGAACCCGCAAGUUGAUCAACAAAACAUACAUCAAGUACUCACAUGAAUCAAACGUGUGCCAACCCAUAUGCAUAGGUUCCAAAUGUCACAAACCCGCAAGUUGAUCACAUCAGAUAGACACGUGAAAGACAUACAUCAAGUGUUCUCAAAGACUCAAUCCGAUAAGAUAACUCCAAAGGGGAAACUCAAUUCAUUACAAGAGGGAGAGGGGGAAGAACAUCAUAAGAUCCAACUAUAGUAGCAAAGCCCAUGGUACAUCGAGAUCAAGAUAUCCCAAGAACACGAGAGAGAGAGAGAGAUCAAACACAUAGCUACUGGUACAUACCCUCAACCCUGAGGGAGAACUACUCCCUCCUCUUCAUGGAGAUUGUCGGGAUGAUGAAGAUGGCCACCGGAGAUUGAUCCCCCCUCUGGCAGGGUGCCGGAACGGGCUCCAGAUUGGUUUUUGGUGGCUACGGAGGCUUGCAGCGGCGGAACUCCCGAUCUAGGUUUCUUUUUGUGGGUUUCUGAAUUUACAGGAAUUUAUGGCGGUGGAAUUAUGUCGGUUGGGCCCACGAGGAGGUCACAAGCCUGGUUGCCACAACCUAGGGGGUGGUGGCGGCGUCAGGGCUUGUGACUCCCUCGUGGCUCUUCUGGCCUUCUUUCAAAGCUUCGGGGGUCUCUUUUGGUCCAAAAAAAUCAUCGUAAAGUUUCAUUCCAUUUGGACUCCGUCUAAAAAUGGGCCAAAAACACGAAAAAAACAGAAACUGGCACUUGGCACUGAGUUAAUAGGUUAGUCCCAAAAAAUAUAUAAAAUAGCAUAUUCAUGCAUAUAAACAAUCCAAAGUUGACAAGAUAAUAGCAUGGAACCAUAAAAAAUUAUAGAUACGUUGGAGACGUAUCAAGCAUCCCCAAGCUUAACUCCUGCUCGUCCUCAAGUAGGGAAGUGAUAAAGAAUGAAUUUUUGAUGCUUUCAUGCUACCUAGCAUAGAUGUCCUUUGUAACUCCUCUUAUGUGACAUGAAUGUUCAGAUCCGUUAGAUUCAAAACAAUAGUUUGCUAUUGACGUGGAAACAAUAAUUAUUGAAGCAAACUAGCAAGGUAAUCAUGAACUUUCGAAAUAACAAGGCCAAAAGAAAGUUAUCCCUACAAAAGCAUAUAGUCUGGCUAUGCUCUAUCAUCAUUGCACAACGAAUUUAAAUCUUGCACAACCCCGUUAUUGGCCAAGUAAUUGUUUCACGCCUUUACUUUCUCAAACCUUUUCAACUCUCACGCAAUACAUGAGCGUGAGCCAUGGUUUUAGCACUAUAGAUGGUGUGGAGUGUGGUGGAGGUUGCAAGACAAAAAAGGAGAAGAUAAUCACAUUAACUAGGCAUAGCAAUGAGCUGUGGAAAUGCUCAUCAAUAGAUAUCAAUGUAAAUGAGUAGGGAUUGCCAUACAAAUGAUGCACUAGAGCUAAGAGUAUGUGAAAGCUCUUUAAAGAAAACUAGUGGGUGUGCAUCCAACUUGCUUGCUCACGAAGACCUAAGGCAAUUUUGAGGAAGCCUAUCAUUGGAAUAUACAAGCCAAGUUAUAUAAUGAAAAUUUCCCACUAGCUAUAUGGUGGUGACAAAACGAGAUACUCUCAAUCAUGAAGAUCAUGGUGCUUAAUAUCCACAAGUGUGGAAAAGUGGUAGCAUUGUCCCUUCUCUCUUUUUCUCUCAUAUAUAUUUUUUGGUGGGCUCUUUGGCCUCUUUAUUAUUAUUCCCCCCCCUUUAUUUUGGUGGGCAUCUUUGGCCUAUUUUAUUUCCUCACAUGGGACAAUGCUCCAUCAAUGAUGAUCAUCACACUUUCAACACAAAACUUAGAGCAACGAUGACUCCAUAUGGAAUGCCUUCGGUAGUGUACCGUGACAAUGAUCUAGCAUGGCAUAGACAUUAAAUGAAACAUCAUGCUAGCUAUCUUAAGAUCAUGCAAUGGAAAUUUAGAUGUGGUGGCACAUGUCAUGGUGGUAUUUGCAUGGAAAUAUAUCUUGGAAUGACUUUGAAAAAUCCAUAGUAGGUAGGUAUGGUGGCUGUUUUGAGGGAGGCUAAUGGUGGGUUUUGUGCACCGGCGAAAGUUGCACGACACUAAGAAGAUAGUGAUGGUGGUAAGUGAAAGUGCAUCUAAACCAUGGACUCAACAUUAAUCAUGAAGAACUCAUAUACUUGUUGCAAAAGUUUUAUUAGUAAUCGAAACAAAGCAUACAACGCAUACUCCUAGGGGAAGGGUUGGUAGGUAUAAACCAUCGCGCGAUCCCAACCGCCACGCAAAGGAUGACAAUCAAUAUACUAAUCAUGCUCAGAUUUCAUCACAUAGCGGUUCACCAUACGUGCAUGCUACGGGAAUCACUAACUUCAACACAAGUAUUUCUAGAUCCACAACACCUUACUAGCAUGACUUUAAUAUUACCAUAACCACAACUCAAAACUAAUUGAGAUGAAUCAAACUCCUCUAACUAUUCAAUGCACAUGAAGGUGGAAGUUUUCGUAUCCCUUUUUAUAACUACCCAUUUUGAGGCUACUUUCAAAGCAUAGAUCAACUACCAAGCCACGCACCGCUGCGCUCUAAAAGAUAUAAGCGAAGUACAUAGAGCAAAAGUAUCUAGCUCAAAAGAUAUAAGUGAAGCACAUGUGAGUUGAAUUGUCUACCACAAGAUAUAAGUGAAGCUCGACAAAAUCAUGGUGUGUGCAUGUCUCUCUCUCUAGGUGUGCAGCAAGGAUGAUUGUGACACAACAAAAAUCAAAGACUCCUACGAUACAAGAUGCUCCAAGCAAAAACACAUAACAUGUGGCGAAUAAAAAUAUAGCACCAAGUAAUGUUAUCGACGGAUUGAAGACGAGAGAGGGGAUGCCUUCCCGGGGCAUCCCCAAGAUUAGGCUUUUUCGGCAUCCUUGAAUCAAAUUGGGGUGCCUUGGGCAUCCCCAAGCUUGAGCUCUUGCCAAUCUUUAUCUCUUUGUCCAUAAGAACUUCACCCAGAACUUGAAAACUUCACAACACAAAACUUAAACAGAAACUCGUGAUAUCAUUAGUAUAAGAAAGAAAAUCACCACUUCCUUAGGUACUGUAGCAAACUUAAAUUCUACUUAUGUUGGUGUUGGGUUGCUAUAUUUUCACUUUUCCAUGGCUAGUACCCUCCGAUACUAUCCAUAAUUUCAUCAAAAUAAGCAACCAACUCAACAAAAAAACAGAAUCUGUUAACAACAGACCAGUCUGUAGCAAUAUGUAUACUUCGUAUACUUCUGGUACGUCAAAAACUCUGAAAAAUUACUACAGUCUGAAGAAAUUGCAUAGAAAUCAGCAGCAAAAAGAAUCAACUCAAAAUCUCUUACAGAAUAAAAAUGAAAAUUCUUUUCGUGAGCAGAAAGUUUCUGUCUUUUUCCAGCAUGAUCAAACAAUCAUCACCAAGACUAAUCAUAACGGUUUUGCUUGGCACAAACACAAAAAGAAACACAAAAUACACAAUCAUAACAGAAUUAUGAUGGUGUGGAGAAAACAAAACAGGAACCAAAAAGCAAAGAAAAAUUUAUUCAUUGGGUUGCCUCCCAACAAGCGCUAUCGUUUAACGCCCUUAGCUAGGCAUUGAUUUCAAUGAUGCUCACAUAAAAGGUAAGGAUUGAAACACAACGAGAGCAUCAUGGAGCAAAUGGCUAGCACAUUUAAGUCUAACCCACUUCCUGGAUUUUGUGAUCAAACAAUUUAUUGGAGCAAUAAUCAACUAGCAUAGGAAGGCAAAACAAGCAUAGCUUCAAACAUUUCAACAUAUGGAGAGGAAGCUUGAUACUAUUGCAAUAAGUAGAAGCAUAUGAUCCUCUCUCAUAGUAAUUUUUAGUAACAUCAUGAAUGAAUUCAACAAUAUAACCAGCACCUAAAGCAUUCUUUUCAUGAUCUACAAGCAUAGAAAUUUUACUACUCUCCACAUAAGGAAAUCUUUUCUCAAGAAUAGUAGUGGGAUUAUCGUAAAAGACUUGAGCACUACAAAUUGUGUCCACUAUGAAAAAGCAAGGUUUAGCAAAGGGGUUUUAGAAAGUAUGACAAGUUUUAUCAUCCCUCUUCUUCAAAGCAUAAGUAUUCUCACAAUAAUCAUCAAAGAUAGGGGGCAUUCUUUCAUCAAAAUAAUUUUGAUCAUUCAAAGUGGAAGAACUAAAAAUAUCAUCUUCAUCAAAUAUAGCAUCCCCAAGCUCGUGGCUUUGCAUAUCAUUAGCAUCAUGGGUAUUCAAAGAAUUCAUGCUAAAAACAUUGCAAUCAUGCUCAUCCUUCACAUAUUCUAUGCCAAGCAUUCUAUGUAAUUCUUCUUUCAGCACUUGAGCACUAUUUUCCUUCCCAUAAUGCUCACGAAAGACAUUGAAAAGAUGGAGCAUAUGAGGCAUCCUCAAUUCCAUUUUUUUGUAGUUUUCUAGCUAAAGAACAAGAAACAAAAAGAUUCGAUUGCAAGAUCUAAAGAUAUACCUUCAAGCGCUAACCUCCCUGGCAACGGCGCCAGAAAAGAGCUUGAUGUCUACUACGCAACCUUCUCCUUGUAGACGUUCUUGGGCCUCCAAGUGUAGAGGGUUGUAGGACAGUAGCAAUUUUCCCUCAAGUGGGUGACCUAAGGUUUAUAAAUCCAUGGGAGGCGUAGGAUGAAGAUGAUCUCUCUCAAGCAACCCUGCAACCAAAUAACAAAGAGUCUCUUGUGUCCCCAACACACCUAAUACAAUGGUAAGUUGUAUAGGUGCACUAGUUCGGCGAAGAGAUGGUGAUACAAGUGCAAUAUGGAUGGUGGAUAUAGGUUUUUGUAAUCUGAAGUUACAAAAACAGCAAGGUAACUAGUAACAAAAGUGAGCACGAACGGUAUUGCAAUGUGUGGAAACAAGGCCUAGGGUUCAUACUUUCACUAGUGAAGUUCUCUUAACAAUGAUAACAUAAUUGGAUCAUAUAACUAGCCCUCAACAUGCAACAAAGAGUCACUCCAAAGUCACUAAUAGCGGAGACCAAACGAAGAGAUUAUUGUCGGGUAUGAAACCACCACAAAGUUAUUCUUUCUUAUCGAUAUAUUUAAGAGUCUGUAGUAAAAUAACACGAAGCUAUUCUUUCCGUUCGAUCCAUCAUAGAGUUCGUACUAGAAUAACACCUUAAGAUACAUAUCAACCAAGACCCUAAUGUCACCUAGAUACUCCAUUGUCACCUCAAGUAUCCGUGGGCAUGAUUAUACGAUAUGCAUCACAUAAUCUCACAAUCAUCUAUUCAACCAACACAUAGAACUUCAAAGAGUGCCCCAAAGUUUCUACCAGAGAGUCAAAACGUGUGCCAACCCCUAUGCAUAGGUUCCCAAUGUCACAAACCCGCAAGUUGAUCACCAAAACAUACAUCGAGUACUCAGAUGAAUCAAACGUGUGCCAACCCANNNNNNNNNNNNNNNNNNNNNNNNNNNNNNNNNNNNNNNNNNNNNNNNNNNNNNNNNNNNNNNNNNNNNNNNNNNNNNNNNNNNNNNNNNNNNNNNNNNNCAAAGAAGAUUACAUCGGAUAGAUCUCCAUGAAGAUCAUGGAGAACUUUGUAUUGAAGAUCCAAGAGAGAGAAUAAGCCAUCUAGCUAAUAACUACGGACCCAUAGGUCUGAAGUGAACUACUCACGAGUCAUUGGAGGGGCGAUGAUGAUGAUGAAGAAGCCCUCCGACUCCAAAGUCCCCUCUGGCAGGGCGCCGGGAAGGGUCUCCAGAUGAGAUCUCGCGGAAACGGAAGCUUGCGGUAGCGGAAAAGUAUUUUCGAGGCUCCCCUGAUUUUUUGCGGAAUAUUUGGGAAUUUAUAGGCCAAAGAUCUAGGUCAGGGGGCGGCCAGGGAGGCCACAAGCCUGCCCACCGCCGCCUCCCCCCUGGUGGCGGAGUGGGGGCUUGUGGGCUCCCUGGAGCCCACCUGGCUUGGCCCAAAAGCCCCCGGGACUUCUUCCGUUCGGGAAAAAAUCAUUUUGGGUUUUUUCUUCCGUUUGGACUCCGUUCCAAAAUCAGAUCUGAAAAAAGUCAAAAACACGGAAAAAACAGGAACUGGCACUUGGCACUGAAUUAAUAAGUUAGUCCCAAAAAGAUAUAAAAAGGUACGUAAAACAUACAAAGAAGGCAAGAUAACAGAGUGAAACCAUCAAAAAUUAUAGAUACGUUUGAGACGUAUCAAUGACUUCAACAAACAAACAAGCACACAAGCAAGCAAGAAAACCGGCAAAGGAAAAUGGCAAAGGGCAAAAGAAAGCGGCAAAGGAAAACGACAAAAAGGCAAAAGAAAAAGGCAACGGAGAAAGGCAAAUGAAAAUGGCAAAUGUGAAGUGGGGGAGAGGAAAACGAGAGGCAACUGGCAAAAAAAGUAAAUGCAAGAGAUGAGUUUGUGAGACCUACUUGGAUAGAUCUCUCCUUCCCCGGCAACGGCGCCAGAAAUACUUCUGCUACUGCAACAAAAGACCUUCCAACGGCCCCAGAAACAAGCGUGCUGACGGAAGACUAUUCUUGUCUUGAUACUCCUCAGCAACGGCACCAGGAAUCCUUUUGCUACGGCUACGCCUUUAGGGACUUCCUUGGCAAAUAUGCAAAGGAUUCCCCCGUGGCCUUGGAGCCUUGCGUUGGUGUUCCCUCGAAGCGGAAAGGGUGAUAUNNNNNNNNNNNNNNNNNNNNNNNNNNNNNNNNNNNNNNNNNNNNNNNNNNNNNNNNNNNNNNNNNNNNNNNNNNNNNNNNNNNNNNNNNNNNNNNNNNNNACCCGUACCCGUAGCCGCCACCGUCGGCGCCCCAGGGCAGGAUCUUCCAGCUCUGGUUCUCGCCCUUGCAGAACUCCCAGAGGACGACGGCGGUGCCGUCGUGCACCCCGCCGUGGGGCUUGUCGCCGUGGAGGGCGUCGAAGCUGAGGCUGAGGUUGUUGACCAUGCGGAUGCAGCGGAAGCCCUUGCCGACGUCGUUGCUCUCCGUCCACAGCACCGACUCGUCCUCGAACGCCGGGUUGUAGGGGAUGAGCUUGACGGGGUGGGACUGGCCGAGCGAGUGCUUCACGGCCAGCCCCGUGGCCUUGUUCACCAGCGCGAACGCCGGGUGCCCCUCCGCGUCGCUCACCCUC
rnacentral:lncRNA from 1 species